CACCGUUUCUUUUAGGCUAUAUAAGCCAAAUUUUAAGCUUGAAAAUCAUUUUUACACCGGUUAGAAAAAAAAACUUAAAGAAAUCCUCUGCAGGAGGAUUCGGGGUCGGCUUCAGAACCUCGUCGGGCCCCUAUCCUCAGGCGCCUACGCCCACACGCCACCGCGAGGACCACCACGCACGGUGAUCAAAGGGUUAAAAACCCUCGUCCUUUCAAGCGAAUUAUAGGUAACUCUCUUCCUCUUAGUAUUUCCGUAGUUUAUUUAAAAAAAAUGCUUCGUAUACCAGUCAGAAAAUAAUUAACAAAAUAUGAAAUAUAAAUCACCUUAAGAAACUGUUUGCAAUCCUGAAUGUAUUCGUAUGUCUACUGUUUUUAUUUUCUAAAAAAAAUCCGGUUUUUUACAUCGUAUUUGAUUCAGGCUUUUAUAGCCAUUGUUUACAAUAUAUUUUGGGAAGAAAUCUUUUAUUUCUUCCCAUUUUUGUUUGUUUGCUGCUGUUUCUUUCUCUUUUGCAAAUAUUCGCGAGGAAAAUCCGACGAUGAUCGUGCUGGACGCAGAUCUGCCGGUGGCGUUGAUCACGGCGUGACCUGGAGCCUGGAAUCGUGGCUUUGAUGGAGGGUACUGGAAAGACAUAAAACCGAAGGAGUGUGAUGUUUGGUUUGGCUUCUGGAAUUUUCUGUUUACGGCGCUUAGGGUUCCAAAAAAAAACUAGGUCUCCCCUCAUCUGUUAACACAUUUGGGCCUCUUGGGCCCCGAAUGUAAUGGGUCUGCUAGGCUUAAGCUAAAACUGGGUGUAGGCAAUUAGGUCAAAUGUAAACGGGUAGUGGGUUUAGGUAUUUGAGCUCUGUAUAUGGACUGUUUAAAUAAAUAAACAUUUUUUUUUUGGUUUUAAAGCCCGGGCAGAUUUGGACUAUUACACUCCUUUAUUCUGUUCUCGCUUUCGGUAAAUUUUUUUCCCAAUAUAUUACCAUCCUCCACAUUCCAUUUCUUCAGGAUCCCCUUUAACUUUCUCAAUUUCACUGCCAUUUUCCUAUUGAAACAACGCAAACCUGACCAUUCCUCUUUUCAUUUUUCGUUUUUGCAUAUUCGUAAUUGUUAUAUGUGUCAUCUUGCCUAAUGGAUCUAGUCAAGUCAACCUCUUUGACCAAUGGAAAAUAGGAGAAUUUCCUCUAUAACAUUUUACCAACAUUGUAUGUGGAAGCUCACCAACAUGGUAAAACAUUAAUCCUUUACUAAACAUCUGUCUCAUGCAUGUUUGACAAGUGUAAAAGAGGCAAGCCACAUUGACUUAGACUCUACCAACUUGUUUCAUUACAUCCAAAUACACCUAUGGGUGUCAAAUCCACCAAAAAUAAAUUAUUAUGCCUAAAACCAAAAUUAAAUUUAUAGUAUAAAGAGUAGAGUCAAUCCCACAAGGACUAAUCUAUCUGAAUCUGUAUCUCUUUAUAACCAAAAUGCGUCGCAGGCAGUUUUCAUGCCCAUGACUCAUGCCAACCUAUACAAAAUAGACGGGGAUUAAAUUAGAAUAUAAAAUAAAUCACAAAAAAUUAAAUAAAAAAUAAAAUGGAAUAGAAAUAAGUAAAACAAAAUAAAAAAAUGAAUAAAUAGAUAAAAUGAAAAAUUUAGCCUUAGGCACAAUUUUGACUUUGGCUUUGAACUGAUCCUAGAUAAUGGAUUCUCUCCUUCAAUCGAUAAAUCGAUUAUAGAGAUCGAGGAACAAUCUCAAAGGAAUCUACUUCAAAGAUUAUGAAUUAUAUAAUCGUCUCCCUUACCCAAAUAUAAUUAGAAUAUGCUCUUUUACCUAUAAACUUUGUUAAAACCUUUCAAGAAGCCUUUUUAUGGAUCUUUGAAAUUUUUAGAACCACCACCAACAACUCUCCAUAAUGAUGUAUAUGAAUCACCAUGUACCAUUAAGCCAACGUUUUGUAUCAACAAUUGGUGCGAUGUACACGUAAUAAACUUGAAAAUUACAACUAUUAAGAGUUUCAGUACCAAGCUAAUUCAGUUGGUCAAAGUAACCAAUAACAAGGGAACUAUUAUGAAAAGGACAAACUGGGCUUCUCUCAUUUGUCUGCUUUGAAAUAUAACAAGUAUAGAUGUUGUCACGUUUUGCAUUAGAUUAAUUAUUUUUUAAGCUAAAUUAUUAAAAUAAAAUAAAAAAACCACUCGUAAAAUUAUAUCACUAUUUUAAUCAAAUACAACCAAAACUAUAUUUAUCAUGUCCAACCAAAAUUCACAACUAACAAAUUGUAGGCUUAAAUUCAUUAUGAUAUAUAUGAUUGGAGGCAAUACACCUAUCUACAACAUUCAAUUAAAUACACAUUAAAUUUUACACGUGUCUAUGCACUUAUCCAAGUAAAGUAAACUGCAUUCCUUAUCAAUAUUAAGCAUUAAACUUCAUUUCCAAUCAAAGAUCAAGAAAUGGAGAACGAACUUCACAAUUUCAUCAAGGUAUGGAUUUUAGCUAUAAUUUCCCUUUGUUAUUGUUUCUACAUAUCAUCAAAGCUCCCCAAAGGUAUUUUUAAGCUUAUUUCUUUAACACCAAUCUUCAUCUUCUUCCUUUACCUCCCUCUCACCAUCUCCACCGCCCCUCUCGUCGGCAUCACCGCCUUCUUCCUCUCUUGGUUAGCUAAUUUCAAGCUCCUCCUCUUUUGUUUCGACCAACCACCGCUCUCACCACCGCCGUCCAACCUUUUUCAUUUCAUUUCCUUAGCUUCUCUUCCUAUUAAACCAAAACAAAAAACCCCAUCUCAAAACAAAUCUAAACCACCCCAAAGAUCAAUCUUGUUUGCUAUUAAAGUUUUAAUAUUAGCUUUGCUUUAUCAUUGUUAUAGCUACAAACAAAAUAUCCAUAAAAAUGUAGUUCUAGUAAUGUUCUGUGUCCGCAUCUACAUUGAGCUUGAGCUCAUCCUAGCCGUGGCCGGAACCCUUGCUCGAGCCAUGUUUGGGUUCGAGAUCGAGCCACAGUUCAAUGAACCCUACUUGGCUACCUCUUUACAAGAUUUUUGGGGUCGUAGAUGGAACCUUAUUGUUACUAGUAUUCUACGACCAACCGUAUAUUACCCCAUACGCCGUAUUUCUACUCGUUUGCUUGGAUCAAGGUGGGCUUCGUUGCCCGCGAUCUUCGGCGUGUUCGUCGUCUCCGGCUUGAUGCAUGAAUUGAUUUUUUAUUAUUUGACUCGUGUGGCUCCAACUUGGGAGGUGACAUGGUUUUUCAUCUUACAUGGGGUUGCGGUGGUGGCGGAAGUGGUGGUGAAAAAGGUGGUGCCCGAUAAAAUGAGGUUGCACUCGGUGGUUUCCGGGGCGUUGGCUUUGGGAUUUGUGGCGGUGACUGCCGUUUGGUUGUUUCUCCCGCAGUUAGUGAGGAAUGGUGUAGAUGAGAAGAGCAUUGGAGAGUACUCCAAGUUGAUGAUCUUAUAAAGGGUUUGCUUCCAUUUUGAAUAUCAUUGUAAUUUUAGAAAAAAAUCAUAAAUAAAAAUCAAGCCAUUUAAAUUCCUUCAUUUGGAAUCAUGGUGACGAUUAUAUUGAAGGCAGGACGAGCAUCCUUGAAGUUACAAAGACAAUUCAAGUCGGCAUGUUUUAUCAAAACACAGCAUUGUUUGGUCGGUGGUGGAGGGUAUCUCCCAGUGACCACCUGCCCGCAAAGGUUCAACCUACUCAAUGGAAUGUUACAUAUGGUUGCCCCUUUAGCUCCUUCCACCAUUGCAAUGACCACAAAGAUUGCUACCAAGCAAUACACCAUAAGUUUCUCACUAACUUUACCCAUUUUUCUUGCCUCAAUAAAAACCUAUAUCAAACACAAUGCUAAGUAACACACCUGCACUUAAUUUAUAGCAAGGGUUUUGCGGUACUCAAUAAUCAGUAAAUUCUUUUUGGCCACCCAACUAUGAAAAAUUAUAAAAUGGUCAUCUAAUUAUUAGUAAAUUUCUUUUUUAGUCACUUAAUUAUCUUGGAUUUUGGGCAUUUCUAUUUUUAUGAUAGCUAGCUGGGAACCCAAAAUGACAAAAUUAAAUAGUUUAGUAAUUAUUUUGUAACUUUUUAUAAAUCAAAAUAUAAAACAAAUCAAAAAAAUUAAAUAAAAAAUAAAAUGGAAUAGAAAUAAAUAAAACAAAAUAAAAAAUGAAUAAACCGAUAAAAUGAAAAAUCUAGCCUUAGGCACAAAUAUGACUUCGACUUUGAACUGAUCCCAGCUAAUGGAUUCUCUCCUCCAAUCAAUAAAUUAGUUAUAGAGAUCGAGAAACAAUCUCAAAUCUCCAAAUUCUUCCGUAAUAAUAAAUUAAUUAAGAGACUAGCACGACGACUAACCCUUACCAAGUACAUAACCUUGAAAGCAACUCGUACCCUAACAUUUCAAACUUCCAUUGUACUAGUAUAGAAAAUGGUAAAAAAAAGUAUCGAAAUAGUAGCAUCCAUGUCCAAAAUUAAUUACAAUAAAUCACUAAAAACAUGUCGAUUAAACACAUUAUCAACGUGCAAACAAAACGCAUCAUGACCAAGCAUCCAAAUUCCCUCCAGGGAACCUACUUCAAAGAUUAUGAAUUAUACAAUCGUUUCCCUUACCCAAAUAUAGUUAAUAUCCCCUUAUUACCUAUAAACACUUUGUUAAAACCCUUCAAGAAGACUUUUUAUCGAUCUCCGAAAUUCUCAGAAUCAUCACCCAAUGACUCUCCAUAAUAAUGUAUAUGAAUCAUCAUCUACCAAAAUGAUAUGCACGUAAUCAACUUCAAAAUUACAACUAUUAAGAGUUUUAGUACCAAUCUAGUUUAGUUGUUCAAAGUAACCAACAACAAGGUAACUAUUAUGAAAAGGUCAAAGUGGAGUAAAUAUUUGAAUAUUUAAAUAUACUCUAUCUUUGUAAUCUUCGUACAUUUAAAAUUUAAUUUUUAUAUUUUUACUUUUAGAAAUUUAAUCCCUUAAUUUUCGAAUUUAAAAAUUCAAACCUAGUUAUUAACACUAUUAAAUUCAUUGAUGUGAUAUUUUAAAAUAAAAAAAUAUCCACUUAAUAAUGAUGUAUCUUAAAUUAAUUAUGAUAUGAUUGGAGGCAAUACACCUAUUUACAACCUUCAAUUAAAUACACAUUAAAUUUUGAACGUGUCUAUGCACGUAUCUAAGAAAACGCAACCACAUUCCUUAUCAAUAUUAAACAUUAAACUUCAUUUUCGUCAAAGAUCCAAAGAUCAACCUAUGGAGAUUGAACAUUACAGCUUCAUCAAGGUAUGGAUUUUAGCUAUAAUUUCCCUUUGUUAUUGUUACUACAUAUCAUCAAAGCUCCCCAAAGGCAUUUUCAAGCUUUUUCUUUAACCCCAAUCUUCAUCUUCUUCCUUUACCUCCCUCUCACCGUCUCCACCUUUCAUCUUGUUGGCAUCAGCGCCUUCUUCCUCUCUUGGUUAGCUAAUUUCAAGCUCCUCCUCUUUUGUUUCGACCAACCACCGCUUUCACCACCACCGUCCAACCUUUUUCACUUCAUUUCCUUAGCGUCUCUUCCCAUUAAACCUAAACAAAAAACCCCAUCUCAAAACAAAUCUAAACCACCCCAAAGAUCAAUCUUGUUUGCUAUAAAAGUUCUACUAUUAGCUUUGCUUUACCAUUGUUAUAGCUACAAACAAAAUCUCCAUAAAAAUGUAGUUCUAGCAAUGUACUGUGUCCAUACCUACAUUGAGCUUGAGCUCACCCUAGCCUUGGCCGCAAUCCCGGCUCGAGCUAUGUUUGGGUUCGAGAUCGAGCCACAGUUCAAUGAACCCUACUUAACUACCUCUUUACAAGAUUUUUGGGGUCGUAGCCAACCGUAUAUUACCCCAUACGCCUUAUUUCUACUCGUUUGCUCGGAUCAAGGUGGGCUUCUUUGCCGGCGAUCAUCUCCGUGUUCGUCGUCUCCGGCUUGAUGCAUGAAUUGAUUUAUUAUUACUUGACUCGUGUGGCUCCUACUUGGGAGGUGACAUGGUUUUUCAUCUUACAUGGGGUUGCGGUGGCGGCGGAAGUGGUGGUGAAGAAGGUGGUGCCUGAGAAAGUGAGGUUGAACCCUGUGGUUUCCGGGGCGUUGGCUUUGGGAUUUGUAGCGGUGACUGCCGUUUGGUUGUUUUUCCCGCAGUUGUUGAGGAAUGGCUUAGAUGAGAAGACCAUAGGAGAGUACUGCAAGUUGAUGGAUCUUUUAAAGGGUUUGCUUCCAUUUUGAAUAUAUUUUAAUUUUAAAAAAGUCAUUGUUUUUCUUUUUUAAAUAUCUGAGGCUCAAUUUUAUCCCUUCAUUUGGAUUUAAUUGAGAAUUUAUUUCGUAGUGUAAUAAUAAAACAUUUUCAAUUGAAAUAAAAUUUUGAUUUGAUCAGUAAUACUUUAUCUUGUAUUAAUAAUAGGAGUGUUCGGGUAUUUAUAUAUAUUGUUACAGAUAUUAUUACAACUCAUGAUAGGGUCUCACUAUUUUAUCUUGACUCUGUUACCUUUGAUACUGACGUUCUCUGUCCUUAGUACUGACAUUCUCUGCGAACUCCAAGUUUGCUAGGCAUGUGUUUACGGAGCAUGCGGUCCUUUUUAUUCUUGGGACUGACAUUUUGGACGGGCUCCGUACCUGCUGGACACGUGUUUAGGUGGCCUGUGGAGCACCCGACACUUUUUGUGAGCUCCUUAGGUGUAUGCGAGCUGAGUCCGCGUGCUCGCUUUUCGAGCAAGGUUCACAGACUCGCCUUGCUAUCAACCUUAGAAUAAAUUUAGAGUUGAGAAAAUAACUUCAAUCGAUUUGAAAUCACCAAUAUUGAACAUUGGAUCAAAAUCUUUGAAGAACUCAUAUGAGUUUUUUUCUCAAAUUUGGAAAUAUUUUCUGGAGAAUUAUGAAAGAAUUUUGAGAGAAUAAAAAAUGAGAUCUAAUCUUUGAUAUGUGGACUUCAAAAAUGAAAAUGAAAAAUGAGAGAAAACAUUUAGAAAUCGAGUGAGAACCAUGUGUGAAGUGAGGAGGCUGCAGCAUUCUUGAAUUGAAGAACCCCCACUUGAUUUCAAAAAAUUGGGGAAAUUGCCAUUAGGCCAUUCCCACAAUCCCACAAUCCCACAAUCCCCUUGUUUUACUAAAUAAUCUUUCCCCUCCAAAAUUCUGAAAAUAUGGGUAAUUUGUCAUAAAACCACUCAAGUAUUUCCCUUAUUUUGCAAAAUAGUCCUAUGUAAUUAAUAUUUUAAAUUCUCUCAAUUAAACCUCAAUUUUAAUUUAUUUUUCAAUUCUAAUUUGACCCUAAAUAUUUAUUUUACCCAAAAAUUAUUUAAAACUAUAAAAUUAAUUUUUCUAAAAAUAUUUUUAUUUUCCGGAAUAUUAUUUCCCGAUUUUUAAAUAAAAUUAAGCUAACUAAAAAUUUACUAAUAAACUCGAUUAACUCUUAAUUUUCACUCGAAACCCGGUAAACUUACCUAAAACUACUAGACCUAUUUUUGGGUCACUCGUUCCUCUACUGAUAACAACAUACCCCUCAAAUGGAUUGGUUUUUUGGCCCACUUCUAAUCGGCAACUUCUUUCGACAUCUCGAUGGUGCCUUUACAACCAAAGCUUUGAUACCACUUUCCAUGGGGCUAGAACUUUUGUCUCGCGUUCCAUGCAGCAUUAAGCAAUCCUUUCGUUCCAAACAUGCCUAAGUUAGCUUAACCACCAAACAAUUAAGGAUUCAUAAAGAAUUUCUUCAAGGCACCAAUUUAUAUAGCGAAAGCAACUUAGCCAAAAGAAGAGAAAGUUACAGAAAGCUAUGCACGAGAGGUGUUUGAGUAAAUGCUCUCAAUUGUAUUACUUUCUCUCAAAGAAUACAAGAAACAAUAAAGAAUGGAAAGAAUUACAAGUGAGAGGGAGGCUCUCUAUUUAUAGUUGAGCUCCCCCAAAAUUGAAGGUCAAGAUCUAGUUAUAUUGACGGAUAAGAUUAGUUUAUCCUUAAAAUCUAGGAAUUUACAAUAUUACACAAUCAAUUUACAUAAUCAAAUCCAAUCUAAUCUUAUAAGAUAUGAUUCUCCUCAAUCUUCUAAUAUAAGUUUCCCUAUUUACCAAGGUAGUCUAUGUUGUCAUAUCUUCAUCAUUAGGUCACGCAGGCUUCAAUCUGACAAGCUACUUUAACAACUCUUUGAAUUGGGUCAGUUCUUGUGGGCCAAAUGAUCCCUUUGUCAAUGAUAGACCUCCAUGAGAUGCAUUGUGUGUGAUGGUCACGGGCUUUUUACUCAGCUUGUGACACUAAAGUUUGAUUGAAUCGGAAUCAGUAGAGAAAGAAUCACGUCGGGUCGUCACGACGUCAUGUCGGUUCUCGUCAUGACGAUUUUGGCUCCUUUUUAGUAAUUGCAGUUGCACUAGUAACCGUUGACCCUUGAAAAAUGUACAGGCUACCAUUUUUCUGUCCUCUCAUUACAAUGAGAGCUCCACGAGAGAUUGUUACCACCGUUGAAAUUCUUCUAUUAAAUUCUUUGGUGUGAAAUUUUAAACUUUGUUAAACUAUUCACUUGAUAGUCAUAUAAGAACAAAAGUAUUGUUGAAAACAUUUAUUAUGAUUUUUUUUCCUAAAAAACACUUAUUCAAAAUUUCCACGAUAAAAUAAUUUUUUUUGUUCGAAUAGUAUUCUUGAGAAAAAUUGGCAUCAGCAUUUUGAUUGAAAUAGACUAACUAAUGACAUUAUAAAAGUAGAUGAACCAAAUCAUGUCAAAAGCUAAAGUAUAUUCUCAAGUUUUAGCAUAGUCUAGAAGCUAAAAUUGAAAUUUAACCAUUGUGGUAUAAUGUAAAAAGAAAAAGAAAAAAGAGACGCAAAUCUAAAAGAAUUAGAAAUUUGGGUGCCAGUCUCUAGGACUCAUAUUGUAUUCAAAUUAUAUAGAACCACAUAAUAUUUUAUAAGAGUUAACUAUAUCAACUAUUUAGACUAAUUAAAAAUAUUAUAUUAUAUUAAAAAUUAAAAUACAUAGAUUAAAUUUAAAAAGUAAACAAAACUUGUUAUUUAAUUUUUUUAAAUGAAAAAAAAAAGCAGUCGACCUACCACUUGACAAACCACUUCAAAAUAGAUGGGGAAAGUUCAUGUUUGUUAACUUUACCAAAAGUGACAUACACGUGGAUUGCCACGUUAACAUUUAAUUACUUUUUUAAAAAAUUAAAAAUAUUUCUAAUAUAAUUUUUUUGUAAUUUUAAAAUAUUUUUUUGAAUUUUUAAAAAUUAAAAAAUUAAUUAAUUACCAAUAUGACAUCACGUGGCAAUUUAUAUAUAUGUCAAGUUAACAAAAGUUAACGAACAUUAAUUUUUCCAUUUAUGUUAGAGUGAACGAACAUUAACUUUUCCAUUUAUGUUAGAGUGAUUUGACAAAUAAUAUAAAUUUAAUAAAAAUUUAGUUCUAAAUUCAUUAUGAUGAGUACAUACCCUGGCCUACAACAUUCAAUUAAGUGCACAUUAUUUGUUCGAAAAAUUAAAUACACAUUAAAUUUUGUACCUAUCAAUUAUAUUAUGUAUAAAUUAUAAAAUUAAUUUAUAUUUUAAAAAAAAUUGAAAUUACUACUGUAAUCAAACAAAUUAUCAUAUUUGUAAUGUCAUGUUAAUUUGUUAAUUUGUUAUUUAAAAAUUUAAUAUUUCUAUAAGGUUAUUUUAUUAAAUUUAGGUUCAUUAUAACGUUAUUUUUUUAGUUAAAUUGCUAUCAAGUGAGUUUUUUUAUUUAUUUCAAAUUCAAUAGUAUUAACAAUUGAACUUGAAUUUAGAAACUUAAAAAAUAUAAUGAUUGAAUCCCUCUAAAUAAAAUUUAUGGACUAAAUUGCAAAGUUUGAACAUAUUUUAACGUGAUGGUUCUCGAUCUAAGUAAAGUCUAACUACAUUUCUUAUAAAUAUUAAAUGUUAAACUUCAUCUUUAUCAAAGAUCCAAAGAUCAACGAAUGGAGAACGAACAUUACAAUUUCAUCAAGGUAUGGAUUUUAGCUAUAAUUUCCCUUUGUUAUUGUUACUACAUAUCAUCAAAGCUCCCCAAAGGCAUUUUCAAGCUUUUUCCUUUAACCCCAAUCUUCAUCUUCUUCCUUUACCUCCCUCUCACCAUCUCCUCCGUUCAUCUCGUUGGCAUCACCGCCUUCUUCCUCUCUUGGUUAGCUAAUUUCAAGCUCCUCCUCUUUUGUUUCGACCAACCACCGCUCUCACCACCACCGUCCAACCUUUUUCACUUCAUUUCCUUAGCUUCUCUUCCCAUUAAACUUAAACAAAAAACCCCAUCUCAAAACAAAUCUAAACCACCCCAAAUAUCAAUCUUGUUUGCUAUAAAAGUUAUAAUAUUAGCUUUGCUUUACCAUUGUUAUAGCUACAAACAAAAUCUCCAUAAAAAUGUAGUUCUAGCAAUGUACGGUGCCCAUGUCUACAUUGAGCUUGAGCUCACCCUAGCCUUGGCCGCAAUCCCGGCUCGAGCCAUGUUUGGGCUCGAGAUCGAGCCACAGUUCAAUGAACCCUACUUAACUACCUCUCUACAAGAUUUUUGGGGUCGUAGAUGGAACCUUAUGGUUACUAGUAUUCUACGACCAACCGUAUAUUACACCAUGCGCCGUAUUUCUACUCGUUUGGUCGGAUCAAGGUGGACUUCUUUGCCCGCGAUCAUCACCGUGUUCGUCGUCUCCGGCUUGAUGCAUGAAUUGAUGUAUUAUUACGUGACUCGUGUGGCUCCUACUUGGGAGAUGACAUGGUUUUUCAUCUUACAUGGGGUUGCGGUGGCGGUGGAAGUGCUGGUAAAGAAGGUGGUGCCUGUGAAAAUGAGGUUGCACCCAGUGGUUUCCGGGGCGUGGGCUAUAGGAUUUCAUGUGGUGACUGCCGUUUGGUUGUUUCUCCCGCUGUUGAUGAGGAAUGGUGUAGAUGAGAAGGCCAUAGGAGAGUACUGCAAGUUGAUGGAUCUUUUAAAGGGUUUGCUUCCAUUUUGAAUAUAUUUUAAUUUUAAAAAAGUCAUUUUUUUUCUUUUUUAAAUAUCCAAGGCUCAAUUUUAUCAUAAAUAAAAAUCGAGCCAUUUAAUUCCUUUAAUUUAGACUUGAUUUUCUAGUGUAAUAUAUUUUUAUUUCUCGUGUGUUAUUGAUAAGAGUGUUCGGAUAUUUAUAUAUGUUGUUACAAAUAUUAUUACCGCUCAUAAUAGGGUCUUACUAUUUUAUCUUGAUUCCACUGCCUUUGGUACUAAUAUUAUCUGUCCCUAGUACUAACAUUCUCUUCGAACUCUAGGUUUCCUAGGCACUUGUCUACGGAGUAUGCAGUCCUUUCUGUUCCUAGGACUAACAUUCUGGGCAGGUUCCGUACUUGUUGGACACGUGUCUGAGUGGCCAGCGGAGCAUGUGGCCCUUUCUACGAGCUCUCUGGGUGUAUGAGAACUGAGACGGCGACCCUCCCUGGGUCCUUACGAGCUGGAUCUGUGGCCUUACGUUAUGAGCUGGGUCCUUGGCUUUGCCUUGCGAGCUAAGUCCAUGAACUCGCCUUGUUAUCCUCUUCGUAGUUCAUUUCGCACUUAAUCUUCUGGUGAGACCUAUCCAGGUCAUGGGUUGAAGACCCGGAUCUCUAGUAGGGCUCGAGUCAGUGAUUACUGAUGUAUAACACGAUUUAUAUCAUAUUUAAACUCAAUCUCUAAGCUUUUUUUCCCGUUUAUAUCCAAAGACGACAUGAUUAAUUAUUUUUAUUUGAAUUUUAGUCAAAUGAUUAUUUCAAAAAACUCGAUGAUUUUCGUAAGCCUUUCAAUAAGACGAGGGGAAAGAAUAAUAUAAGAUUGGUCAAGCGAUUAGAUCCUUUCGGUGGACUAGGAUAUAUAUAAGGAAAAGAAAACUCCACCUUGUAUUUAGAAAACUCUUUGCAAGCCUAAACUCCAGCAUUAGUGAAGUCAGAAAAUUUUUUUUGAGUUGAAAUUAAAUUAUAUAUUUUUAUGAUAAUAAAAAUUAAAGUUUAUCAUUUUAAUAGUUUAUAUUUUUAUAAUUUUUAAAGAAUUAAAUUAAUUUUUUAUUAAUUUUGAGGUUCAAAGUAUAAUUUUAUUAUUACUAAUUUAAAAUUUUAUAAAUUAUAAAAAAAUUUAAAUGAAAAUUUUUCAUUUUAGAAGAAUUGAGGAUCCUGCGGUGUUAUUCAUCUUACAUGGGGUAGCGGUGCCGGCGGGAGUCGUGAUGAAGAAGGUGGUGGCUGAGAAAAUGGGGUUGCAUCCUGGCCGAUCUAAGGCAAAAUUCAAACCUAAAAAGAAAGAAGAAUGAAAUAAAAUAAGCAAAAAGGCAUAGUGAUUCCUAUUAAGAAACCAAAAGUCCAAAAAUGGAAGAAGAGAUAUCAAUCAUUGUUUCAAUUUUGACUUUAUAAACACAAAUCCAAUAGUUGACUCUUUCAACACAAAGCUUUCUUUUGGUAAUCAACCAUGGAAACUUCUUGGCAGAAGGAUAUUAAUUUAAUUUAAUUUUUUUAAAAAAUAUUUAAAUUUUUAUAAAAUAAUAAAUACUAAUACUAAUUUAGUUGAGAAAUAAUUAAAAUAUAUAAAUCUAGAAAACUAUAUACACAUGAGAGAAGGUAUGACAUAAAACUUUAAUUUCUCUUUUUUUAGGAGAAUGACAAAUCAGAUUUUUUUUUCUUAUAAUUUUCAGCUUUUUUCUCUUGAAAAAAUUUAAAUUCUACUAAAAAUGCUAAAAAUCAAGAGGAAAAAUCUGACAUUUGUCAUUCUCCUAUUGGAAAGGGAUAGGAAUGAUGUGGAAUCACAGUUUAUCCCUUCAUUUAAUUUCUUUUAUCUCUUUUAGUUAUUAAAUCGGCAUUUAUUAACAAAUCACCUCAAAAUGGAUGGAAUAGUUAAUGUUUGUUAACAUUGCUGAUGUGGUAUAUAUGUGAAUUAUCAUAUAGAUGAUAUGUUAACAUUUAAUUAAUUUUAUAAAAAUUAUAAAAAAUAAAUAUUGUAAAAAAAUUAAUUAAAUGGUGAUGUGUCAUUCACGUGACAAUUAACAUGUAUACAACAUAAGUUAAAAAAAAGGUUAGUUUUUCACUUAUUUUGGAGUGAUUUGACAAAAAAUUACAAAUUUAAAAACUAAAAAAAACGAAAAAUUAAAUGAAAUUAAACUAUAUUAUUUUGAAUAAAUUACAUUAGUAGUCAUUUAAUUAUUAGUAAAUUUUUAUUUUUGUCAUUAAACUAUGGAAAGUUACAAAAUUGUCUCUCAACUAUUCAAUUUUGUCUUUUUUGUCACUAGCUGGCUAAUAGUGACCGGUUUUAAAAUUGGCAUAAUAGUAACUUUAACCCUCAACAUUUACACAUUGUGUAAUUUAAUCUCUUAUUAUUAUUAUUAUAGUUUUGCUAUUCAUUGUGACUAUUUCACCUAAAAUGCUAAAAAAAUUAUCAACUAAAUUUGAUUGAAACUAUAAAAAAAUGAAAAACCCAAAAAUCUCAAGAUAGUAAUUUUGAUCUUUUCUCGUUCUUUUAAAAUCAACUCUUGACGUCUCAAAGAAAAACAAAACCGCAAAAAAAAAACCGUAAUUGCACAAUGCGUAUAUGUUAAGGGUUAACUUUUUUAGAAUCAAGACUACAUUGAUAUAAUUUAUAAAUAUUGAGGGUUAAGUUGCUAUUAUGCUAAUUUUCAAACCUACUUAACUCGUUGGUAGUGAAAAAAGACAAAACUAAAUAGUUGAGUAAUCGUUUUAUAACUUUUCAUAGUUACGUGACGAGUUACCCUAUUUAUAUUAAUUACAUAUAAAAAAAUACAUCAAAUAAAAAUUAAAAAUUAAAAAAAAUUAAAAUCAUAUGGGCUAAAGGCCCAUAAUAUCCCCAAAGAGGCCCAAGGCCCAUUGAGCUACCUUUUGUUCUCCUACCAAAACUACACAACUUUGUCUAUAUGUGAAACUUUAUCGGUUUAAGUUUAACACACAGCUCAGAAUCUGAGAAAAAAAAAGAAAAAGAAAAAAAAAUACAAGAAAAAAAUUCAAUUUUUUUAAAAAAACUCCUGAUAAAUAGAAGAACUAAGAAAUCAAAAGAAAUAAAGCAAGGGUUGAAUCGAUCUACACUCUCUUAUCAAAGUUUUGAUCUUUUUGUUUUACAGGUAGCCCUUUUUCCCUCAUUAAUUUCAGCACCCUUAUUUUUGUUUUUGCCUCCCAUAAUUAUUUCAUAUUUAGGGUUUUCUUUCACUCAAAAUUGGGAACUUUUUUUUUGUUUUGUUAAUCUUCUUUUUUUCUUAUUGCUUGAAUGUUUUAAAUUCGAUAAUUUUCUCUUGGAUUAGGUUAUAUACCUUAGCUCACUGUUUUGGACUUUUUUUUUUGGGUUAAGUUUUUUAAGCAAAAACCUCUGUUUUGUUUAGGGGGAAAGGAGCAAAGAUUAUAAGCUUCAAUCGGUCCAUUGUUAUUGCUUUGGUUUAUCAUUCCUUGAAGCUUUUUGCCUAAUUUUUUGGCAUUGUAAGUUAGGUUGAACUUAGAAGGUUAUUAGUUUGCUCUUAUUGGUGACUAUUUGCAUGUGUUUGCAUAUGGGUUUGGAGGAAAACGCCUUUUUCAUUUGUGGAUUCUUUUAUUAUUGGUCUUAUUAUUAGGUUGCCUUUUGAAUUUGGGGUGUUUGGAGUAAUGGGUGUUCUGUAUCUAAUGGAAUUUGUUUGGAAUUCUUGUUUGUUUUGUUGGUCAUUCCUCGAGCUUAGGCCAUUAUUGUUAGCCAUUUAAUUUCAUUGCUAGGAUGAUUUAACGCCGGGGGGAUGGUUUUUUGUAUGUGGAUAUGCAUGGUAGGCUUUGUUCAUUUGUGGGGAUUCUGACGGUUCUUCGAGUUAUUGGGUUGGCAUUUUAGGUAUGUUGCAUAAUUGAUUUAGCAAUUAAGCUUGUACAGUAAUUAUAAUCUGUUUAAUUAAUUUAUUGUCAAUUUAUAAGUGUUUUAGAUGUAAAGUAUGUUUUAUUGCCAAAGUAAUUGGAAUUCUGUUUUAAUCAGAUAUUUGAUUUGAUAUACAUGCCAACACAGUUUGUGGUUGGAUAAUGGCUGUUGAGGCUCCUUCCAAACAUGUUUUUGAUUAUGAUGAUGAGGAUGACGAUGGGCCUGUAGUUUUCAAGAGGAGUAAUACCUCGUCCUCUAAGCAAAAUCAGUUAAACUCGGAAGUAAAGAAGGCAUCAUCUCAAAGGUCUGACGGACAGUCUGGCAGACAGGCCUCCAGUGUACGAGCUCCUAAUGGUCAAAAUUCUGUUGCCCAGACCAACAAGUCAAUCCCGCCGUCUAAGUCACCUCCCAUCAGAUCACCUAUUUUGAGCCCGAAAUCAUCUAAUUCAUCCUCCAAGGCAUCACCAGUGGUUAGUUCUAAGGCAUCGACUUCAUUCAAUGAUCAGUCAAAACAAGCAUCGAAGCAGAAUAAGUUUACUGCUGUCAAGGAAGAGAAAAGCCCGAUUAAAUGUACUGAUGAAACAAACAGCGACGACGACGACGACGACUCAAAACCUUUGAGUGCAAGGCUUAAGGGGAUCUCAAGCCAGGGCAAUAAAGGGGUGAGCACUUCAACUCCUGCCCAGUCACAGCGAUUUGUACCAAAGAUUGAGGUAAAAGGAUCUGCUGAAGAUCCAGAUGAUGAUGCUCCUUUGUCUGCCAGGUUCAGCACAAAGUCUAAUACUGGGACAUCGAGCAGUAAGCCAUAUGGAUCUCAUGAGAAGAAACCUCUGGCUUCUAAAAUUCAGCAGAAUGGUUCUAUCAUGAAGGUCAAGCAGCAAAAGUCUUCCAUGUUGUCAGAUAAGAGACCUCUUGAUAAAGGCAAUUCAUCAGAUCAGUCUUAUGCUAAGAAGCCAAAGAUUUCAGAUACUCCUACAAUGAUGAAAACCAAGCAAGUUACUGUGAAAGCAGAAAAAGAUGAUGAAGAUGAUCAUAUUCCAAUUUCCCAACGGAUAAAAAAGUCGGUUUCAUCAGUCAGUAAAGCAUCAUCCGUGAAACAAAAGGCAACCAAGGUUGUAUCUUCAUCAUUUAAAAAGAUAAAUAAGAAGUCGAAGAAAGAUAUGAAAAAAUCUAAAUAUAGCAAGUCAACAAAGCUGUCACCUAGUUCUGGUGAUGGACAGAAAAAAUGGAGUACCUUGGUUCACAAUGGUGUCAUAUUCCCUCCUCCAUACAAGCCUCAUGGGGUUAAGAUGCUAUAUGAUGGGCGACCAGUGGAUCUAACUCCUGAACAAGAGGAGGUCUCUUUUUCACUCUCUAAAUAUAUUUGAUGUUUAUAUGUCAAUUCUGUUUUCGUGUGUUUUUAUGAGGACCAAUGUCUGCAAGAUUUUUAAUGGAUAUUUUAAUGUGAUCUUUCCUUUCUGCAGGUGGCAACAAUGUUUGCGGUAAUGCAAGAGACUGAUUACAUGAGUAAACCACAGUUCAAGAAGAAUUUCUGGGAGGAUUGGAGUAAAUUACUGGGGAGAAACCAUGUCAUUAAGAGCUUGGACAAAUGUGAUUUCACUCCAAUCUAUGAGUGGCAUUUGCAGGAGAAAGAGAAGAAGAAGCAAAUGAGUUCUGAAGUAAGUUGGUUGUAAAUAUUUUUGGCUUUAAUAUACUAUAAAGUUUUCUAUGACAUCUAUCUUAGAACAUAGAUAUCUGUUCUCGUAAUAUUCCUUCAAAGUAAAUUCUAUCUUAAGGUUUUACAAUCAUUAAGGAUGGUUACUGUUUGUAGGAGAAGAAGGCUUUGAAAGAAGAAAAAUUGAUGCAGGAGGAAAAGUAUAUGUGGGCUAUUGUAGAUGGUGUCAAAGAGAAGGUGAAGAUUUAACUUCAAUGUAGAAUUUGAUUUAUCCCAUUUAAAACUACUUUCUUUUCUUCUGGAUUUAAUUCAGAUGAUUGUUUUCUAUUGCAGGUAGGAAAUUUCAGAGUUGAACCACCUGGACUUUUCCGAGGUCGAGGAGAGCAUCCCAAGGUAUUGAUGACAUGCGUGACAACUUUAAUGUUGCAAAAAAACUUUAUGCUUUAGUCGCAUAGUUCCAUUUAUAGGAUUCUUAUAUGAUGCUCUUUCAAUUUAUUGUUGCUUUCAGAUGGGAAAGUUGAAAAGACGUAUUCGUCCAUGUGACAUUACCAUUAAUAUCGGAAAGGAUGCCCCAAUUCCUGAGUGUCCAAUCCCUGGUGAAAGGUUAAGACUUAAAAGACAAGAAGAGCAUUUAUUUUCUAUAAUAUACGUAAAUAUUGAAGGUUAUUUCAUUCUAAUGAUCUUAACUUUUGAGAUUUCUUUUUUGUCUGACUGGCAGAUGGAAAGAUAUAAAACAUGACAAUACUGUUACAUGGUUAGCUUUCUGGAAUGAUCCCAUUAAUCCAAAAGAAUUCAAAUAUGUAUUUUUGGCUGCUAGCAGUUCUUUGAAAGGGCAAAGUGACAAGGAGAAAUAUGAGAAAGCAAGGCUGCUGAAGGUGAUAAGCAAUAGGAUGGUGCUUUUAGUUUUUAUUUAGUUAACCCUAUAUAAAUAAAUGGAUGUUUGCACUUUAAAUGCAGGACUAUAUCAAGAACAUCAGAGCAGCAUAUACAAAGGAUUUUACAGCGAAAGAUGUUACAAAAAGGCAAAUAGCGGUCGCUACCUAUCUAAUUGACAAAUUAGCUCUUAGGGCGGGAAAUGAGAAGGUAUAUCAUGUUUACCAUGGAUAAUCUAAUUUGUGUUUCUUUUUACUUGUGCAAGUACAUUAACAUCUCUUUGUACAUUAAUUGUGGGUAGGAUUGAAUUCAAUGGAGGAAAUAAAAUGUCCAAGCUGAUGUAGUUUAUUAGGCUUUUUGUGAUAGUCAGGUAUUAUAUUUGGUGGUCCUAUGUGCAUUCUAUUGAUGUUUAUGGAAAAUGUUAGUGGCUGCUCCUAGUAAUAGCAGAAGGGCAGAAAGGCUAAAGGGUAAAAGUUGAUUGCAUCUUCCACUGAAUCAUUUUCAACUAUUGCUUUUCUAGUCUUUUUUAGUUCUUUUCGGUCUCCUUCUCUCUUGACCUUUUAACUCUUUCAACUUCAAGUAGUUGUCUUUACUUAGGUCUUGUUUUAUCUUUUAGGUUGAAAGAUAUUGAUAACCAAUAUUUAACCUAUGGUUUGUCUUGAAAGUUGCUGUGUCCUAUUAACUUUUAGUUACGAAGAAAACUUUCAGACAACCCUCUCUUUUUUGGGGUAUUCCUUAUGUUAUGUUUGGCCAUUUGCAGGAUGAUGAUGAAGCUGAUACCGUUGGUUGCUGCACGCUUAAAGUAGGAAAUGUGGAAUGUAUUCCUCCAAAUAAAUUGAAGGUAAGGUUGGAAUAUGCUCCAAGAAAAGAUAGUAUUUCUUUCGUAACUGUUGGAAUGGGCCUAAUUUUUCUGGGAGUAUGCCUGUUAAAACUCGUUAGUUUUGUUGAAUUCUAUGGAAGCCAAGUCAUUUAUCUGCUAGCUGAGACUGUUGUUAACAUUUUUGUCCAUGUUUUAUUCAUUCAGUUCGAUUUCCUUGGUAAAGAUUCGAUCCAAUACGUGAACACAGUAGAGGUUGAGCUUCCUGUAUACAAGGCAAUUGGACAGUUUCAAACUGGUAAGUUGUUGACUAGCUGUGGCUAGAAUUGAUACAUAUAUGAUAUGACUUAAGCCAAAGGGUGUGAUCUCUCUUUUAUACAGGGAAAAGGAAAAGUGAUGAUCUUUUUGAUGAGCUUGAUACGAGUAAACUAAAUGCUCAUUUGAAGGAACUCAUGCCUGGUCUUACAGCGAAAGUCUUCCGUACCUAUAAUGCUUCCAUUACAUUGGACGAUAUGGUAUGUCAACCUAUGCAUGAUCUGCAUACAUUUUACUCUAAUAUUGCUUGUGUGUAUACCCUAUUUGCAAGUCAUCAAUAAGUGUACAAGACAAAUAUACUGGACUGUAACGAUUACAACUAUAUAUAAAAUAUAUUUAGGAGAGCUUUCAAUGUAGUGAGUAACAAGAUUAGGAGUGUCAAUACUUUGCAUGGAAAUUUGAAUUUUACAGUAUCUGUACUUGUGUGAUAUGUUGGAUUAAUUUUUUAAAAGAAAAAUUUUAACUUCAUGCUUAUUAAUUUUCCUUUCUUCAAUGCAGUUAAAUAAAGAAACCAAAGAUGGGGAUGUAGCAGAAAAAGUAGUAAUUUAUCAGCGUGCAAACAAGGAGGUAAGGACUGUUUCUGGCUCGAUGCUGAGCUGAUGAAGUAAUCUAUUUUAUGUUCAACUUUCUUGUAUCUAGAAUUUUGAUUGUUUUUCCUGCAGGUUGCAAUCAUUUGUAAUCAUCAGCGCAGUAUCUCGAAAUCUCAUAGUGCGCAAAUGUCAAGGCUGACCGAGAAAAUAACUGAGCUCAAGGUAACAACUCUAGCUAGAAAUUUUCUUGGAAAACGAUAGAUGUGUCUGACACAAGUAUGUUGAAUUUUCAAAGCUUUUACAUGUAUUCGGAGGAUCAUAUCCCUGCACCCUUUUAUGAAUAUAUGUUGGGUUCAAACAUGGGUACUUGAAGAAAAAUGUAGAGUCGAAGCAACAUAGUCACUUUGGCUUUUCCUUACAAUUUGGUGCUUUUCCAUUCCAUAUCUAUCAGACUGACCCUUUUUUGUUGCUUGUAGGGUCUUCUAAAAGAGCUAAAAACUGAUUUGGACAGGGCUAAGAAAGGGAAGCCGCCAUUGAAGGAUGCUGAUGGGAAGCAGAAGAGGAACUUGACCCCUGAAGCGUAAUAUAGCUUGUUCCCUUUUCUUUUUCUUAAAGCCUUCCAUGCAAAUUUUACAAUUGAACUUCGUUUCAUUGAUUCAUUUUUGAUGCAGGAUAGAGAAAAAGAUAGCUCAAACAAAUGUAAAGAUCGAGAAGAUGGAACGGGACAUGCAGACUAAAGAGGAUCUAAAAACUGUAGCAUUGGGCACAUCCAAAAUCAAUUACCUUGACCCUCGAAUCACGGUUGCAUGGUGCAAGCGGCACGAAGUUCCCAUCGAGAAGGUAAAACCAUGUUUGUUAUAAUUUUAAGAAUGACACAUUAUUCAAUUUCUUGAUUGUAUGAUGAUGUUUCACAGAUAUUCAACAAGUCACUUCUGGCAAAGUUUGCUUGGGCAAUGGAUGUGGAUCCGGAUUUCAGAUUCUAAUCAUCCGUAAGGAAAACCAGGUUGGCGCCAUUAAAUUCUUACUCCGACCUACCAGUCCCCGGGAAAAAAAAGAGGGGGAGAAAGGAACAACCAAAACUCCCUUCUUUGUUGAAAUGAUGAUCCAUUUUUCCAUAUAUAUUUUUUUUUGUCGGUUUUAGAGGGAAAAAUUCAUGUUAUAUGUCGAUCUAAUCUAAUCAAAGGGCUAGUUGGCCCAUUUCUUUUAUCCAUCCCUGUUGCUAAAGAAAUUGUUUGCUUUUUGAACAUUCCCUACUAACUGUUAAAUGUCGAACUGGAUAUACAUUGAACAAUGUUUCAUAAACAGAGUUUAAUUUUAUACAUUUGCUCCCUUUUUCUUACUUCUUUUAUCAUGUUCAAUUCUUGGUAUAACAGAGACCAAUCCUCAAAUAUUGUAUUAUUAAGCAAGUUUUAUUGACUUCACUGUCAUGAUGGUACACAUGGAGUGGGAUUUUUAAAUUAAAAAAAAGAAAAGAAAAGAAAGAGGUUUUAAUUGGGGACUAGUAUACAUUGUUUGAUGGCAGAUUGUUGGACUGGAAAUUGGUUAAGGUAUCGGUCUGGUGAAAGGUCUAAAAUCGGUUGAUGAUCAGUACGGUUGAACUGGAGUACAUAAAGAUAUGUUGGUUAAGGUAUCGUUCUUCUUGAAGAUCAAAUUUAGCAAAAAAAAAAAAUGGUUCAAAUUGACAAAAUAUGUAAUUGUUAAAGAUUAAAUUUGUCAUCAUGUGUUUUAAUAAACAAUCAAAUGUAAAGUUUGAAACUAAAAAUAACAACACAUAUGUACGAAAUUAAAAUAAAAAAAUUAGCUUAAAUUGUGAAUAAAAUGAAUUUUUUUUGAGUUGAUGUCGAGUAAACAAUAUGGGUGAAAAAUUGUAUAAUACUAUUGAAAUAUAUAAAAAUAUAAAAAUAAAAUUUUGGUUGAAAUGGUAAAAUAUGAUAUUAUAAAUAGUUGUGGAAUGCAGUUCAAAUCUCAACAUUUAAAAAAAUUUUAGUGAUUUUUCUUUAAAUAAGAAAAUGACAAAAGUAUUCUUGUAAUAAUAUAACCUUUUAAAAUAUGUAAGACUAUUUUAAUAAUUUUCUUAAUUAAAUUAACGUCAAGUUAACUCGUAAUCUUAACUCAAUCAUACACUUAAAUAAUAUACAUUACCAUGAAAAAACAAGCUUCAGAAAUCCAAUAAGAAUCCACCCCCAAGAAAGACAAAGAUGAACCCAUCAUGAAUUAAACAUCCACACUAGUCUAAGUGAACCCAAAAGACUUUUAAAAAUAGUUAGAAAAGAAAAUAAAUGAGAUUAUAUAAAAGGUAAAUACAUAUUUAGCCAUCUGAGUUUACUCGUGUUUUUAUUUUGGUCACUUAUUUUAAAAUUUUGUUAUUUUUGUUAUUCAUGUUAGAUAAGUUGUCAAUUUUAAUCACUCCACCAUUAAAAUGAGUUUUAUCACCAAACGGAAUGCUGAAGUUGUCUGGUAUAAUAUCAAAAUUAGUCCUCAAUGUUUAUCAUUUUAUUAAUUUGAUCCUAAUUUUUAAAAAAGUUACAACAAAUUUAACUUUUAAUAUUUACACAUUAUACCAAUUUGGUCAUAUACUAAAAAUAAAAAAAUAUAAUUAAAAUUUAAAAAUUUUAUAAUAAAUAAAAAUUCAAAAAUUAUUCAAAUUUAUAGAAAAAAAUAUAUAAAAUAUUCAAAAAAUUAUAUUAAAAAAAAGGCGUUAGCCCCUUAGCAACACCAUGAAAGGUUCCCUCUUUCUUUCAUUUUUAAAAAAAAAUUCUUUUUUUAAUAUUUUUUAAUUUUGUUAUGUUUUAUUUUGGUGAUCAUUAUGUCAAACAUUGCAAAGCUCAAGUUUGCAGCUCUUGAUAUAUCUGGAAAAAAAAUUAUUUAUCAUGGAUACUUGAUGCUAAAAUUCAUUUACAUGUCAAAGGUGUUGGAAAUACAAUUGUGCAAGGCAAUAAGGAAUCUCAAGACAAAACUAAAGCUAUGAUCUUCCUCCGUCAUCAUCUUGAAGGUUGAAUAUUUGAACAUAAAACAUCCACUUGAAUUGUAGAAUGAUUUGAAAGAAAGAUAUGACCAUAAAAAAAAACAGUAAACCUCCCUAAAGCUCGUUAUGAUUAGAUGCACCUCAGAUUGCAAGAUUUCAAAUCAGUGAGUAUAACUUUAAAUUAUUCAAAUAAACUCUCAAUUAAAUUUGUGUGAAUAGAAAAUUACUGAUGCAGAUUUAUUAGAGAAAACUUUCUCAACCUUCACGCUUCUAAUAUGCUCUUGCAACAACAAUAUCAUGAAAAGAAUUUUUAAGAAACACUUUGAAUUAAUCUCAUGCCUUUAGGUGGUUGAACAAAAUAAUGAGUUGUUGAUGAAAAACCACAAAAAUCAUCCCACUAGUUCUGCUCCAUCCCCAGAAAUGAAUGUGGCAGUGCAUUGAGAUUUUGAGCAUGUGUAUGUAUAUAUAUGAAUAUGUACAUGUGUGAAAAUGAAACAUGCUAUUUGAUGUGUAUAAAAAAACAACAAUAUAAAUUUUACCCUAGUAAGAUUGGUAGAAUAGUUAGGAACUUAUGUACAAUUGGCAUGCCAUAGGAAUUAGUGUGCGCGCUUUGGAUCGACAAUACGAUGCCUUAUGAAAUAACACUUUGGUGCACCUUAGUUCGUUAUGUGUUUGGUGUGUUAGGUUAGAUGCACAAUUAGUGCAAUAUGUAUGGUGUGAUUGGUUGGAAUCUUGAGUAUCCGUGUCCUAUUCCACUAGAGUAGGGCUAAGUGUUUAUAAUUGUUGAUAAAUGAACUUAUGAAAAUGGUAUAUGCUAAAAUGUCUAUAAAUAAAGUGACUUGAUUAAAAUGUGAAAAGAAUAAAUAAUUGGGUAUAAGUGGAAUUAAAUGUGAGCAAAUUUGAGAAUUACAAGUUAAAAACAAUUAAAUAGGAAUUUGAUAUUGAAAUGAUUAGUGAAGACUGAAGAGCAAACAAACCUAUUAUCAGUCUAAUGACAUAGAUGACUAUGUGGGCAUAAGUGGUAUAUGUGCAUAAUGCAAUUGGUAGAACUAAUGACUAGGUGACCCAAGUGAUUGAUCAAUAAAAGAAUGAAAAACCUACCUAAUGGUAAACUCCUCUAGUGUAUAAAGUGACUAAAUAGUUGAAAUUGUGCUUAAGAACUUUGACCCUUAUUUUGUAAAUUUGAUAAGUGACAUAAACGAACUUAGACUCGAAACUUAUAAUAAAAAAAAGAGGCUCAACACUAAUAUGAGAUAAGGAUUAGGUAAGAAAAUUUCAAGUGUACUUAUUAAGUUCUUUGAGCUUAAUGCGUUAGUUGUUAAAAUAUGUAGGUGGAAAGCUUUUCUGAGAAGCUUAAGACUAUAUCUUGGGAGGGUUGCAUCAUCAACUCGGUUUAAGGGUUGUAAAGUGAGGAUUUGCAUUUGCUUCUUAGUAUUUUGACAUGUAUAUAAAGGCUUAGGCUAGUCUUAGUAAUUAUGAGUAUAUUGGCUUGUAUAACCAUGGACAUUUGAGACUAUUUUGAUAUUUUAAGUUAAUCUUUGGUUCUUGAUUUGAGUUGAACAUUUGUAUGACUUAAAAUUGAAUUUAGAUAAGCUUAGAUUAUCUUUUAAAAUUGAUUUGAAUCUUAUUGGUAUGAUAUAAUGAAGUUUGGAGUUGAUUUAGGGUGUUUUUCAACCAAUUUUUGCUCCGGAAAACUCAAGUUCUAGAACAUGUCCUUUACAUCGGAGCAUGCAAGUCAGUAGCUAAAAAGCUAUAGUUCCAAGCCAAGGUACCAAUACCUUACCCUUAAACAAGUGCGACUGCAUUGUUUUGGUCGUUUUGAGCUCCUGAAACUCGUAUUUGGUUCUAACACCUCCAACCACUGACAAAAAGUUUCCAAGUGAUUUUAAGAUUUCUUUUAAACCUCUAAAAUGAUUUUAUCUUAUGGCUAAGAUUUUAUUAAUUUAUUUAAAGUUUAAUUUCUUAAAUGUUUCUUGAUAUUUUAUUAAACACGUGUUCCAAUAAUGUCUACUAUUCAUACCAGACGUCGAGACAAAUAAGGGAUGUUGAAAUGUUCAAUUGAAAAAGAAAAGUUGAUGAAUGAAUGACGUUGAGUUGACAAAAAGAAUUGAAGCAAAUCCUUGUGUAAAAGAAGAGCCACGUAUUUUCGGAGGUAAAAGUACCAUGAAUGCCCUUGUAUUAGGAGUCGGAUUACAUUUUGUCCCUUCCACUCAAAAAAUAUGCAAAUUAGUCAUUAUGUGUUAAAUCAAAGAACAAACUGAUCAUUCUAUUAAAAAUUUCAUCCAUUUCUAUUAUUAAAAAUUGGGCAUUGUAAGUCAGCAGGAAGUACUCGUGGCAUGCCAUCUAUAACUAUUUGGUUAUUCUGUCAGUCACACCAAUUUUUAACAAUAGAAACAAAUGAAUUUUUUAACAAAGAAAAUCGAUUUUUAAUCUAAUGUACAUGGACUAAUUUGCCUACUUUUUGAAUAAAUGAAAUAAAAUACAAUCCGACUCGCAAUACAAAAGUCUCAAUGAUAUUUUUAUCUAUUUUCGGAAUAUUCUUCUAAACUUUGAUGGGUAAUACUUGGAAUUUCAAAUAAUUAAGCUCAUUGGUUUCAUAAUCUAAAGUUUCGAUUUUUUUUAAAAUAUCUAAUCUGAAACUAAUAAUUAAACAUCUAAAAUUAUUUAAUUGAGAAAAAGAAAUGGAAAGCAAAUAGUUCCUGGACUGGCCUUUUGUUAAUGUCGCCAUGGCCUCUGUCGCUUAGCUUUCGUUUCAUUCCCCAAUUCAUCAUUCCAAAUUUCAAUUUAAAAAAAAAAAUCAGCUAAUUUCAAUCAUUUUCUAACAUUUUUAUGGUAUGGGUUUUUUUGAAAAAAUUUCAUUUCUUAAUGGGUUUUCAAUCAAGUGUUUUUUUUGUUAAAUUUUAAAGCUAAAAAUGUAGCUUAAGUCAGGUCUUAUCUGUUCUUCUUUCAUUGUAUUACUGAUGAUUCAGUUGUAUUAGUGUUAUGCUCUUUAUAAUUAUUAGAUAUUAGGUCCUUAAGAAUCAGUCUAUUGAUUUGGUUAUUGUUAUUGUUUAAGGUUUUAAUGGCAUCUCCUUCAGAUACAUGGAUAAAAGAAUACAACGAGGCAAUAAAAAUUGCAGACGAUAUCAAUGGCAUGAUAUCCGGCAAGGGUUCCUUGCCUUCGUCUGGACCGGAAACGCAGCGUCACGCUUCAGCUAUUCGAAGGAAGAUUACGAUCUUAGGGACUCGACUCGAUGGACUGCAAUCCCUCAUGUCUAAACCUACUGGGAAGCCAUUGUAAGUCACCUUAGUUGAAGUGAAUUGAUGUUGGAUUUAGUGUUUUUCGAUCGUAUAAGUCUUCUAGGGUGUUUAUAUGAUAGGUACUUCGAUGUUCCAUCGGGGUACUCGAAUGGCCUUUAUCAUGAACUAUAAAUUGGCUUUGAUGUUGGAUUAGUGUUUUUUGAUCAUAUAUGUCUUCAAGGGUAUGUAUAAGACACUGGUACUUUUGAGGUUCGAUAAACCAGUUUCGACUAUUUGUUGAUGCUUGAUAUGUUGGUUACAGAACAGAUAAGGAGAUGAAUCGACGCAAAGACAUGGUCACGAAUUUGAGAUCAAAAUCGAAUCAAAUGGCUUCGGCAUUCAACAUGUCGAACCUUGCUAAUAGAGACAGCUUACUAGGGACAGAAACUAAGCCAGAUACUAUGAGUAGAACAAUCGGUUUGGAUAACUCCGGCCUUAUCGGUCUUCAACGACAAAUAAUGAAAGGCAAGUUCCUUUACUUCAUACUAGCUUCGUGAAAUUGCUCCGACUUUUGAUAGUGUGUUUACGAGCAGAGCAAGAUGAGGGUCUCGAGAAGUUGGAGGAAACGCUCGUAAGCACGAAGCACAUCGAAUUAGCGGUCAGCGAAGAACUUGAUCUGCAUACCACACUAAUUGUAUGUUUUUGUAUUUUCUCCGAUAGUCUUAUUGAGAGCCUUCAAUUCAUCCUCGACGAACAUUACAUUAUCUUCCGCUCUCUUAUGCAGGAUGACCUCGGCCAACAUGUCGAUGUCACCGAUUCUCACCUACAGGUAAAACACUUCACUAUUGAUAAGUUUCUUUUUUGAUCACUCGACAAAAUGGUCAUCUAAUUAUUCAAUUUUUAUUUUAUCACCGACAGUUAAAUAAUUAAGGGAAAGAUGACAUGACAGCUUUUAAAAUUAGCAUAGUAGCAACUUCAACCUUAACAUUAUACGUUGUGUCAAUUUAGUUUUGAUUCUAAAAAAGUUAACCCUCAACACUUCGGCAUUGUGUAAUUUGAUCUCUUUUUUUUUCCUUUGCGACCUUUUCACCUAAAAAACUAAAAAAAAAAAAAACAAAUCUUCAUAAAAAAUAUACAAAAAUAUCAUUUCAUAGUCGAAUAACUAAAAAAUAAAUUUAUUAAUAAUUGGGUGACUGUUAAUGUAGUUUACCUUUAAAAUUUUCAGAUCAUUUCCAGUUCGGAAGAAUUUUGGGUUGUUUAGAGUUUUAAUUUUGUAUUGUGUUUUCUUUUCUUUGUUGUAUCAGAGAGUGCUGAAAAACAUGGGAAUUAUGAACAAGCACAUCAAUGGCGGAUGGUCGUGUAUGUGCAUGCUUGUAGCUGUCAUUGGAAUUGUGGUUCUGCUUGUCCUUAUAUACCUAUUCAUCAAAUACUUGUAAGAGAUAAUAUCACAUUUUUUAACCGUGCUUUUAUAAAAUGUCUAAUGUGGUACUGAACUAUUAAUAUGUGUUUUAUUAUGGUACAUGUAAUUUUUAUAAAAUGUCGAAUGUGGUACAUAAACUAUCAAUAUAUGUUUUAUUAUGAUACUUAGUGUUAACACUGUUAAUGAAUUGUUAGACCAACCAAUGAAAAUUCGACACGUAGAAUUUUUUUUCUAACCCAUCAAGUCCGCAUAUGUAUAAUAUAACAUUACAUGAAAAACUAAAUAAAACAAUUAAAUUAAAUUUAAAAAAAAAACUAAACAUAUCAUUAAUAAAGUAGAAAUAAAUACUAAAUUUACAUAACAAAAAAUGUUAUAUUCUCCAUUUAAGCAAAUAAUCAUCUUCUCCAAAGAAUUUUCCCUUUAAAAUAAUAUUUUCAAUUGAUUUUUAAAUAAUAUUUUUUUAUUAUCUAUGAAAGUACAUGUUUUUUUUAUUAACCAUAUGUUCAGUUAUUUGUUUUUUAAUUUCAUUUAAUUAUUAUUUUAUUUAGUUUUUCACUAUUAUAUUAUCCUCGGGACUUGAUAAUUAAAAAAAAAGAGUUCUAUGUGUCAAAUUUUCAUUAGUUAGUUUAGCAAUUUUUUAACAGUGUUAAUACUAAGUACCAACGGUGGAUCUUGGGAGUUGGGACUAGUUUUUUUUUAUGGGGGGCUGGUAAAAUUUUCUAAAAAUUUAAGGGUUUAAUAAGAUUUUCUUUUAAAAAAAAUUAGGGGUCUAAUAAAAAAAUUUAAAUUUUUUGUGAGAUUAAUGAGAAUUUUCAAAAUUUUAAGAGUGCUUAAUUAAAAUUUUCAAAAAAAAAAAAUUAAAAGGUAUAAUGAAAAUUUUCAAAAAAUUUGGGGGCUCAAUUGAAAAUUUCUAAAAAUUUCAAUGGAAAAAACAAAAUUCUUCAUAUAUAUAUAUAUAUAUAUAUUUUUUUUUUUUUUUGCGGGGGUGGCAGGACAAAGGGCCCCCUAAGCCACCAUAAUGGUCCGUCUUUACCAAGUAUCAUGAUAAAACACAUAUUGAUGGUUUAAGUACCACAUUAAACAUUUUCGAAAUACAUGUACCAUAAUAAAAACACAUAUUGAUAGUUCAAGUACCACAUUAUAUAUUUUCAAAGCACUUGUACCACUAGACAUUUUAUGAAAGUACGUGUACCAAAGGUGACAUUAUCUUGCUUAUAAUAAUAAUAUCGAAGUUAAAAGAUGCUUUUAGUCCCUAUAUUUAAAAGGUUAGAAAUUAAGUUCUCCGACUUUUUUAUUUAAAAAUUUCAAUAAAUCAUUAAACUCGUAAAUAUUUUCUGUCAAAAUUUGAUAAUUUGACAUGUUGAUUAAGUUAACGGGAACUACAACUAACAUAAAUGAUUAAACUAAAAUUUUUAAAUUAAACAAAUAAACUUUUAAAUUAUAGGGACUAAAACCCAAAUUCUAUAAACUAUUGUUGUUUUAUGCAUGUCGUGAAUGUAUGGAAUUUGCUUUCAAUUAUUACUUUCAUGUCUGAAAAAAGCUUGUUACUUUUUAUUUGGUUUUCUAUGAUUUUCUCUUUAUAUAAUUUCAUUUCAUGCUUUUUAAUUAGGUGGUUCCGAUUGAUUUUAGGUGGUGUGAAUUUGGGUCGGAUCAAAUUUAAUUUAAAAAUUUUCGGGUUAUUUCGAGUUUAUAUUAUAUAAAAUUUGGGUUAUUUUAGAAUAAAAUUAUUUUGGGUUUGAGUCGGUGUAAGUUUUUUUUUCCUAGAAUUAGAACUAAAUUGAUAGUUUUUAUAAAUAUUGAGGGCUAAAUUUAUUGAAGUUUUUAGAAUUUGAACUAAAAUGAUAAAUUUUGUAAACAUUCAGGGCUAAAUUUGUUGAUUUUUUUUAUAUUUAGGAUCAAAUUGAUAGAAUAUGUAAACAUUUGAGGGCUAAAUUUGUUAUUAACCUAAUAAAAAAAGCCCACAUCAACUUUCCUUCAUUAAAAUAUUUAGUUUUGAAAAGGUUAACAACUAAAUCAAAAAAAUUAAUAGUUGAGUAAACUUGUUCAUGGGUCGGGCUACCUACCUAAGCCCAAAGGGCCGCCUGAAAUUUGAGAGAGUUUGAGUAAAAAUAUUAGGCCCAAAAAUUGGGCUUGGGCAAAAAAAUUAGGCCCGCUUAAAAUAUGGGUCGGGCUCUAUCUUUAACAUUCAAAGCCCGAGCCUAACUGGCCCGUUUUUAAGUGUAUAAUACUUUAUAGCAUGUAAUUUAGAACAGAUUAAAAAAAUAAACUUAUACUAAAUAUAUAAUACUACUCUAAUGUAAAUAUUAAAAUAAUAUUAAGAUGACGAUAUAAAAAAUUUCAAUAAAUAAAAAAUGUAUAAAAUUAUUAAAUAUUAAAAUAAUAUAAUAUAAAUAUUUUUUAAAAAACGUUAAAAAAUAAUAUGGGCAUGCUUAAAAUGAACUUGGUUUAGUUUUUUGCAAAUAUGGACGGGUUUGAGCGAAAUUUUAAGUUCAAAUUUUGGGUCGGGUCAGGCUUGGGCAAGCAUAAAAUACGUUAAUAUCAUUCUUAGGCCCGCCCUAUGAGCACCUCUAUAGUUGAGUGAAUAGAAUAGAGCCAAAGGAAUAGUUUAGUGACUAUUUUUGUAAUUGACCCAUAUGAAAUUUAGGUUACUUUCUGCUAUUAGUCCUUGUACUUUACAAAAGUUGUGGACUUAAUCUCUAUACUUUAAUUUGGUCAUUUUUAGUUCCUGUACUUUUCAAAAUUUUAAAAUUUUAGUCAUCGCUAAACAAUAACUAUUAAAGUUAUUAAGUUCUGUUAUUUUCAAAAAAUGAUGCGGCAAAUAUAUUAGGCUUAACUCAUAAAUUGGUACCUAAACUAUACUCUUUUUUCCCAUGUUGGCAUCUAAACUUAUUUUUUGUCACAAGUGGUACCUAAACUACUUUUUUUUCCCAAGCUACUACCUCCAUUAGCCAAACCGUUAAAAGUCUAUUUUAGAAAUAAGCUUAACCCAUAAAUUGGUACCUAGACUAUGUCAUUUUUCCCAUUUUGGUACCUAAAUAUUUUUUUGGUCACAAGUAGAACCUAAACUAUUUUUUUCUCCAAGUUGGUACCUCUGUUGUUAGUCAAACCGUUAAGUCUAUAUAAAAAAAUUAACCAAUUAAAAAUUGACAUGUAGCAAAAAAAGACAAUAUUAUUUUCUUUAUAUAUAAAAAAUAGAGAGAAAUAGUUCAACCAAUUUUUUUAGCUUGGUUCAACCGAUUUGUUUUGGUUCGUAAGUCAAUCAAUUCAACCCCCAUCUCUGGACCGAUUCUCAGUUCAAUCGACUAAAUCAAUUUGUUUUGAAAACACUAGUUUUGAUCGAUGAAAGAACUUUUUCGAUCCCAUCAGGUCAAACAAGUAGGCGGUGAAAUUAGAAACUAAAAUUAUUCACCAACAUUUCAACUUCAAGCGGGCCAAUUUCGAACAUUGUUGACAUUGUCAAACAUCAUAAAGGAAUAAAAAAGAAAAUUUAAAAAAAAUAAAUGGAUUAGUAAUUAUUUUUAAAAGUUUAUAGAACAUACAAUCUAUUAUUUGUUGGAAUCUUUUUAGCGGAUAUAACAUUUUGUUAAAUGGAAAAGGAAAGAAUAGUUUUGGUACAACCCGUGACCAAAAAAAAAAAGUUUAGUAUUGUUUAGGUACUAAUUUGUUGUUAAUUAGGCUUAACAGUUUAAUUAAUGAAAAUACCAAUUUGAGGGGAAAAAAAGUAGUUUUACCACUUAUAACUCGGAAAAAAAAAUUUAGAUCCCAAAAUGGAAAAAAUGACAGUUUAAAUACCAAUUUGUAGGUUAAAUCAAUAUAUUAUUAUAAGUAUAACGACACAUCUGCUUGUUAUUUUAGCACAUACUUGCUAAAAAAAUCAAUUAAUGAAUAGCAACUCAUUAUUGAGAUUUCAAAAUUUAAACGGUAUAAAGACUUAGAAUGAGCCAAUUGAAAAACAUAAAAACUUAGAAUGACCCAAUUGAAAAUUAUGGAUUAAAUAUAUAAUAGGCUACAUAAUACAAAACUAAUAAUUGAAUUUAAACAAACAUAUUUAAUUGUUAUUAUUUGGUUCAGGACUAAAAUUUUAAAUUUCAAAAAAGAAAAGGAUUAAAAUUGACAAAUUCAAAAAUUACAAUGACUAAAAUUGAUCAAAUUAAAGUAUAAAGAAUAAAUCCACCAUUUUCGUGAAGUACAGAGACUAAUUGCAGAAUUUAACCUAAAAUUUAAUAUAAAUAAAAUCCAAAGUAGAAUAUAUUUUUUGAUAACUACAUAAUACAUUUAUGAGCAAGGAAAAAAAGAAGACUUAUAAAAGAUAAACACAGAAAGACUGAAAAAAACUAUGGAGAUAAUUUACACAUUCCUUCAAAACCAUAGCUUUUAGAGGUAAAAUUUAAUCAAAGGAAGAAUGAAAGAUCAGGUUUGGGGGUAAAUGAUAACAUACUCUCACCAAAAAGUUCAAAUAAUGAUGCUAACAAGUUCCCUGGGUCUGUGUCUUCCUUCCAGGCCUGAGCUAGAACAGUUGAUGUCUUUGAAACUCGACCCCCGACCUCCCUUCCUAGCAUGUUAUCGUUUGAUAACGGCCGUGACAUUGAUGAUACACCAAUAUUGGAACCUCCUACGGUGGUAGAAAAGCCGCUAACUGCCCCUUGUAAAUCAGUUUGCAUGGAAUUUAUUGGCAUCAUACCUAUUGCACUCUCAGUUGCUAUUUUCUUGGCAGGUGGUUGCUGCUGCAUCAAGGUGUCCGUGCUUGCUUUUCGUUUAUCUUGAUUGAUCAGAAAAAGGAAUAUCGUAAAGGGGGAGAAGAGACUUGUGGAUUAAGUGUAAAUAUGAUGGUUCGAAGAAAUCAUACUAGUCGCAACUUUGUUGUUGCUUUUCCAGACGGGACGAGUUGGGGGUGCUAGCAAACUGGGGAACAUUUUAAGCCGAUCAUACAUGCACAGUCCAGCUGCACGCUGUUAGUGGAAAUUUUAUGCAGUGUUGUUAAUUCUACAGCAAAUAAAUGAACCGAUGCUCAUAAACUGGUACCAAAUUUGAUGUUAAACUUACCAGCAGAGCCCCAUAAACACACCAGGCCUCGUGUCUUUUUAUUUCAGGUUCAAGAAGCUGCAAAUACGCUUCAAGAUUUGGUAGUAUAAGUAAACGAACCUACAUAUGGAAGAAGCAGCGUUAACCAAACAUAUGAAAGACAACUUUACAGAUGCCAUAAUAAAGAUAUCUAUAGAGAAACCGCAUAUUUACACUUUUGGACUAUAGAUUUCCAAGUUCUUUCUUUCUUCGGAUCUUGCAGAAAAGAGUGACAAAACAGUUUUCUGAAAGAAAUGAGCUUAAAAAGAUAGCUAUCAUUGCAAUUAUCUUUGACCAAUUGAUCCCACAAACAAGUAUCUUACUGUGUUGCUAGUAAAUAUUUGAGAUUAGAAUUAUACCACACUGGGUCCAAGGGCUGCUAACCCUUGAAUUGCUCCGUAAUGCUGGGGAAAUGUUUUCGUUGGGUCCAAAAAAGCGUGGAGCAGUGUCCUUGUCACACGUGGCUGAAGAUUGUGAUAAACAUGCCCAAAUCUAUAAAAUAUUGACUUGUAAGAAAUGCAUGUAAAAAUCUGCAUAUCCAAGACAAAUAAUUAUGCUGGAAAUUAAGUUCUAAUCUUUUCCGCAUUCAACCUAAAAGCAAAGUAUAUCGAAAAUUGGAUCAUGUAAAAAAAAGUAGCCACACACAAUGAUCAAACAUAGGCAUGCUUAAUGAUCCACAUGUAAUUAAUCUAUGUAUUCUGCAUAUAACAUGCACGCUCGCACCAUUUGUUUUGUAUGUGUGAAAUAGCAUAAAAAUGAUAUACGCAUGAUUUGAAGAAUAGAUCCAAGUUUAUAACCAAAAAAUCUGACACCUGAAAUUCAUAAAAUCAAAUAUGCAUGUAUAAGUCCAAAAGAAAAGAAAUCUUCACCUUUUGCAAAUUGAUGCCACUAGCUUUGCUGCGAAGUUUCUAAGUUCCCAAUGAUUUUCGGUGAAUUUAUUUCCUAACCUUUUUGCAACGAGGCAUGUAAUAAUAGAUGGCAUCAACUGGUGUAACUGAAGAAAAUUUUAAAAAAUCAGAUAGGUGGAAAAUAAACCACUAGCAUAUUUGCAUUAGUUCGUGUACUUCUAAACGAUUGAAAUAAUAAACUCACGUAAGGUUCUAUGUGCAAGUGUUCAUUCUGGAGAAGACUCCGGGCAACACGCAUCAAAGCAAACAUGAGAGGGAAAUUGUUCAAAUUCCGUGCAACCUGAGAUAAAUGUGGCAAAAAUGUAAGCUUGAGAUAACCAACCAAAAGUUCUUUGCAACACACAUAUAUAAUGAGGUAUGAAAGAUCUUUAAGACAACCUCAUCAGCAAUGAAACAUGUAAAAUAAGGAACUAAAGGAUGUAAUCCUGAGUCUGUUGCCAAACUCAGUAAUGCUUGUUUAAAGAGAAUCGAGACUGAUUUAUUCAUGGUAAUGUCCACGAUCUUGUCAAAGUAAAGCUGCAUAACAACCAAAUUAGUCUUUUAAUAUCAUUCUGUGCAAAAAGUAAUUUAACAUAAAAAUGUUGCUGAAGAUGUACAACAUACUUGAAGUUCUCUAGAUAAUACAUGCUUAAUAGGUAAUUUGACAUCAACGGAAAGCCCAUCUUCUUUGUAUUCAGCCUUUUUACCAUCAGAGGGUGCUGCAUGGAAAGCAAAAUACCAAUUCCAUGUAGAAAUGAAGAUAAGUAGUAUUAGAUUAAAGUGACAAAACCAGAAAAGAACAUGAACCAUGAGAGUCUUCAACACAAAUAGCUUCGAGAGAAUAUUUAGGUUAGCUAAGACGGUACCUUCAAUUGAAGCAUUUUCUGGAAUUGCUGGUUGAAUGCCUUCAAUCGCAAGCCAGUGGGAUGUAACAGAUGUAUCAAGUGGUGCUUUUGGCAAAGGUGACUCAAGAACCUACAUACAUAAGGCAACAUAGAAGAAUUUAAGUGAAGACUUCUUUAAUAAGGCAACAUACAACAGAACCUCGAAUAUUGUUGAUAAGUUCUUACUUCUUUAAACUCCACAUCUUUGUCAUCAAUGUAGAACAAAUCCUUAUGCCCAGCGGCUUUCUUGAAUCGUAGUGCAUCACGAGAGGCAAAUCCACAUAUCGGCUGAUGCCAGAGAAACACAUAACACAAGCCAAUUAACCAAAAUGCAUAAUCUAAAGCAGGAGGUUAAACUUAAUAUUCAAACUUCCAAAACUAAGUUAUCAAAAUUCCACUUUUGAUAAAUUUUAUGGAUUAAUACACAUGAAGUAGAAAUUUUCACAUUAGUCCAACAAAUCAAGAUAUAGUACAUCAUUAAAAAUUCAUAAGAUGCUAACAAAAUUAUACUAACAAAUAACAUUAAUUAGCACUAGUUUCAACUAAAAAGGAAAAAAAAAAUACAAUAAACAGAAAAUUUUCGAAACUUGAAAAUGUACCUCCACGUUUCUCAGAUUAAGAGCACUGUCAACGUCAUCAGUUGUCAGAACCGUCCGCCGUGAGUGGCGCAUGCAUUUAAUUGCCUCCUACACUAUGACUUGAAUUAGAAAAAUAAUCCAAACAUUUGAAUUUAUACAAAGACAAAAGGCAAAAUUGAAAAUUACCUGCAUGAUUUCUCGAACGCGAUAUUCAACAUCAGGAGCCAAAGCAAGGGCGACAUCUGGGGACAAAUUGGUAAUGCCAAUGCUCUGUGCUAUCACUUCAAUGGCUUCUUUUGGAACGUUACUCAUUCUUUCUUUCUUUUUUUACUACAAAUUUAAUCGUGAUUCUAACUUCAAAUUUGGGGAAAAGGUGAGAGAUGAAUUGGGAUUUUUAGGGCUAAUUGAUGAAGGGGAUUUACGACAACGGUGCUUUCUUUUUUUGGGCCUAAAUUAGGCUCUAACUUAAGCCCAUACGAAUUCAUAAAGGGUAAACUACCCCCUUAGUCACUUAACUAAAAACAAUUACAAUUUAGUCAUUAAUGUUUUUGAAACUGUUUUUUGGGUAAACUACAAAAAUAAUCACUAAACUACACCUUUGGUUCUAUUUUAGUCUCUCAACUAUUAAUUUCUUCAAUUUAAUCACUAAAGUUUUUGAAAUUAAAUAUUUUAGUCACUCUCCCAUUAACGAGUGAUGCAAGGUUGACAUGAACUUUUUUAUUGGUCUAACAACAAAUUUAACCCUCUAAUAGUUACACAUACUAUUAAUUUAAUCUUAAAUAUAAAAAAAUUAAUAAAUUUAUCCCUAAAUAUUUAAAAAUUUAUUAUUUUAAUUCUAAUUCUAAUUCUAAAAAAUUAACAAAUUUAACCUUUAACAUUUACAAAAAAUUAUCCAUUUAAUUUUAAUACUAAAACUUUUAAAAAUAUAUUUUUAGCCCUUUUAUCUUACACUUCGAUUUUUUGGGUGAGCUGCCGUCAAAAUCAAAGCUGGCAACAUGUCACCGAGGAAUUCAUAUAUUUUCUUCUCUAAGUUCAGGUAAUUUCACCAUUUUUUUUUACUUCAAGUUUUGUAUGCACCUGAAUUUUUUUUAAUCUCGCUCUUAAUUUGUUUUUUCCUUUAAAAUUAUCAUUAGAUUCAAGUCAUUUCUGCUAAUUUUUCUUGUUUAAAGAAAUUUCAUUUACGAUCUAAUUUAUUAUUCUUUUAAUUUUUUAAAUAAUUUUUAAGUACUAUGUGUUAAUUGACAUCUUUGAGGUAAAGGCGAUGCUGCAACUACAGAUUUAUCGUCGGUGGUGUCGUACGUACCGCCCCAAAUUCAUUCUCCAAGUAGCUAGAGCCUGUUUAUGUUCGAAUUAGGAAAAAAGAACAAAAAAAGUGCUUCCGAUGCUAAAAUAUCAAAAGGUGAGUUUAAAAGGCAAAAAAUUAUUAUUUUUUAAUAUAUAUCUUUUUAAUUUUUAAAAUUAGAACUAAAUUGAUAAAUUUUGUAAAUAUUGAAGGUUAAACUCUUUGAUUUUUUUUAUAUUUAACAUCAAAUUAAUAAAAUCUAUAAACAAUAAAGGACUAAAUUUAUUAUCAAACUAAUAAAAAACCCAUAACUAAAAUAUUUAAUGUCAAAAAUUUUAGUGACUAAAUUAAAAAAAGUUAAUAAUUGGAUGACCAAAAUAGAACAAAAUGCAUAAUUAGAUGACUAUUUUGUAAUUUACCCGGUUCAUAUUUACAUUUCUUCUUUUAGAUACUAAUUACCAAUCACAGAUUUUGUGCUUAUAUAUAAUAUAUAUAUAUCUCUGUCUGUGAGUGUGCAUUAUUUGGGGGUGAAAAAGCAACAAUUAACAAGAGAUGCCAUAUAUUUUAUUUCAAGCAAUUAUUAUUUUAUCAAAAUUACACACAUAAUUGAUAGAAUAACAUUAAAAUUUAUAAAAAUUUAAUAAAAUCAUAAAAAUAUAACUAAUGAGAAACUAAUAACAUCAAAGAACCAACACAAUUCCAAUUCAAAGCACAUACAAAAUCAACAUAUGAGAACACACUGAAUCAUCCAUUCCAUUAAACAAUGGAAUUCAGGUAUUCCCUCAAUGGCCAAAAUCCAUAAUUGCUGAUUUACUGAUAAUCUUCCAAAUGAUUUUUGUGCAAUAUAUAUAUACACACACACACACUCUUCACUCUCCUUCACUUAAAAUGGGGACAAUGAGUGGUUUCAUUUGUGCUAGGUAUACAAUUGCCCACCUAUCAAAAGCAAAUGAAAUUUAACAUCACAAAACUAGCAAGACAAUGAAAUAAUAAGACAUGUGAUGCAUUAUGUUACACAAAACUCCUAUGUGAGUGUCAGAUGCAAGUAUGUUUAGUUUUUUCAGAGAUUUUCGUGUAUUUGGAGAGUUCUUGAAGGAUCAUCUCCAGUAAAAAUACCAUGGAGGCCCUUGUACUAGGUCUUAGAUUGCAUUUUGCUUCCUCUACUAAAAAAAGGGGCAAAUUAGCUCCUGUACAUUAGAUCAAAGAGCAAACUAAUCCUUUCUGUUAAAAAAUUCUUCCAUUUCUACUGUCAAAAACUGGUAUGGCUGACAGAAUAAUCAAACAAUGACACAUGGCAAGCCGGGUGUACCUUAUACCAGUUUUUUACGGUAGAAAUUGUUGAAUUUUUUAUUUACUUGAAUUUUGAAAUAUGAGAAGUAGAGACUAAAUUAGAAUUCGGUUUUUAGGGGAUCGAAACUUAGUAAUAUGCCACAAUGCAGAACUAGAAUUAGAAUAUAUCCUACGACAAAAAAGUAGUUUGUCACAGCAGAAAUACGUAGAAAAGGCACUGCCAUUAUAUUCUUCAUCCAACAAAAGUUGAAAUGACAACAUAGCCAAAAGAUGCCCUCUAAUACAUAUGUAUGUGUUUGUGUGUAUAUAUAUAUGUAUAAACAGUAUGUAUGUGUUUGUGCAUACAUAUAUGAAACUAAACAUAAACUUACAUCAUCCAACAACAGACGGUUGCUGUAAUGACCAAUGUUAGAUGUAACCUGUAUGAUAAAACAAGGAAAAACCGGUUUGUUCAAUGAGAGCAAAGAAAAUAUAGGGAAUCAUGGCAGGAGAUGAUAAUCAAACAAAAGUGAACUUCCCUAGUCUCUAGAUAACAAACCAAGCUAUACUAAAUCAUGAUGAAAAUCCGGGAAUAUCGGUUUCCGAGGAUCACCAAUCUCCUAUCCAAAUCAACAAGGUUCAUUCAAGUUCGGAGUAUACAACCAUGGCAGGAGAUGAUAAUCAAACAAAAGUUAACUUCCCUAAUCUCUAGAUGACAAACCAAACUAUACUAAAUCGCGAUGAAAAUCCAGGAAUAUCUGAAGAUCACCGUUCUCCCAUCCAGACCACUAAGGUUCAUUCAAGUUCAGAGUAAACAACAAUGGCAAGAGAUAACAAUCAAACAAAAGUGAACUUCCUAGUCUCUAGAAGACAAACGAAGCUACACUAAAUCACGAUGAGAAAUCAGGAAUAUCUGUUUCCAAGGAUCACUGAUCUCCUAUCCAAAUUGAAAGGUUCAUUCAAGCUUAGAGUAAACAACCAUGGCAGGAUAUGACAAUCAAACAAAAGUGAAUUUCCCUAGCCUCUAGAUGACAAACCAAGCUAUACUAAAUCACGAUAAAAUCCGGGAAUAUCGGUUUCCGAGGAUCACCAAUCUCCUAUCAAAAUCGAUAAGGUUUAUUCAAGUUCAGUGUAAACAACCAUGGCAGGAGAUGACAAUCAAACAAAAGUGAACUUCCCUGGUCUCUAGAUGAUAAACCAAGCUAUACUAACUCAAGAUGAAAAUAUGGGAAUAUUGGUUUCUAAGGAUCACCAAUCCAAAUCGAUAAGGUUCAUUCAAGUUCAGAGUAAACAACCAUGGCAGGAGAUCACAAUCAAACAAAAGUGGACUUCCUUAGUCUCUAGAUGAUAAACCAAGCUAUACUAAAUCACGAUGAAAAUCCAGGAAUAUUGGUUUCCGAGGAACACUAAUCUCCUAUCAAAAUCGAUAAGGUUCAUUCAACUUCAGAGUAAACGACAAUGGGAGGAGAUGACAAUCAAACAAAAGUGAACUUCCUUAGUCUCGAGAUGAAAAACCAAGCUAUACUAAAUCACGAUGAAAAUCCGAGAACAUCGGUUUCCGAGGAACACCGAUCUCCUAACCAAAUAGAUAAGGUUCAUUCCAGUUCAGAGUAAACAACCAUAGCACAAAAAAUUUUCAGUAAUUGGUUCACAAUGCUAACUAUUCAAUCUAAAAUACCUACUUAUACAGUAUACCAACUUAAACAUAUAUCAAUCACAAUACAACAGAUUGUACAAAGGGGAGAAAUUUUUAAAAGGGUACUUACAGAUUAGCAGAGGGACCUCUGUUACAACAGAUUCUGGUACAAAGUGAUGCAAUUACCGCAAUCACAGAAAAAAUUAGGGUUGUUACUAAGAAACCCAUAUUUCAGAUCUCGAUUUUACACAAAAUUUCCUGCCAAAGAAAAAUGAGAAGAGUUCUUUAAAAUAAAAAAGGACCAAUUUGAGUUCAGCAAAGCCAAAUAGUAAAUUCGGAUCAUAUAUAAUUUCGCUUACCUUCUGUUUGGUUUAUGAGAAAAUGCAAGAAAAUCUAUUCACGUGUAUAAAUUAAAUACAAUCUAACUUUUACAAUGACCUUCCCGAUAAUUUUACCUUUCGAGUAGUUUUGGUGCGAUGAUAUGCAAGGAGACAUAUCAUUGCAUAAAUCAAUUUCUUUUAAUAUAAAUACGAAGUUUUGUUUUUGAAGUUAUAACUUAUAACGUUAUGAUUACAUUUAAUUAUUACAAACAUUUAAUUAAAUAAUUAAUUUAAUAAUUAAGUAACUAACUAACUAUAAUUAAUUCAGAGAAUUUACACAUUUUACGAACGUUUUUUAAAAUAGACAAGUGGUCGAAUUAGUCAGACUAUCAAUUCCUAGUUCAACCAAUUUUAAUUAUUCAAAACAAAUAAAUUUCAUAUCUCUCACUAAACCGAAACCUUCAACCAAAUUAAUUAUUAUAAAACAUAAAUCUAAGAUUUGGAUAUGGUGUCAUCAUUAAAAAGAAAUUUGAAAGGGGGAAAUUGAAAAAUUGACAAGAAAUUUGGGGUCAAAUUUGAAAUUUUCUUUAAAUACGACACGUAAACAGGCAAAAUACCAAAGCAGCAGUGACACCCAAAAAACGAAACUGACUUACCCAGUUAACAAAAUCAUCCCGAGAUUCUCAGAUUUUGGGGUUUAGGGUUUUAGCCUUUGAAAUCUCGGCUUUAUACGAUUUCUAGGCUUCCCAAAACAAAAUGUCAGACCUAGACAGGCAAAUAGAGCAGCUAAAGAAGUGUGAGCCUUUGAAAGAAUCCGAAGUGAAAGCUCUUUGCCUUAAAGCCAUGGAAAUCCUCGUUGAAGAAAGUAAUGUUCAAAGAGUCGAUGCCCCUGUUACUGUAAGUAUAUUAAUUAAAUGGGUUUUUGUUAAUUUGUUAUGAUUAUGAUUUGUUUCUGGCUAUUAGGGGUUUGAUUUAUUGAAAGUAAAGCGUUUUUUUUAGGUUAUUAUGAAUCCAUUGAUUCGUCAAUGGGUUUUUAGCUUUUUUUAUUUCUGUUAUUUUUGUGUAUUUGUAUUUUGGGAACAAGAAAUGUAAUGGAAUUGAUUAGGGUUUUGAAGGUGAAUUAAUUGAAGAAUUUAACAAUGGUGGAAGGGUCAUUCAAAUUUUGGUCAAAUUUGGAUUCUUUAUUGAAUGGAACAGUGUUGCCGAUCGCAUUUCAGGUUCUAAACUGAUGCUAUCUUUUCCUUUAUUAUAACUUAGAGCUUGUAGGAUGUCGUGCUCGACUAGUGUAAGUCCUAGGCAUAAACGUUAGUGCAUCUUUUCUGGUUGUUUCGAAAACUUGAGCAGGGAAUAAAGCUAACUCGAAAUAGUUUAUCGAAGCUUUGACGACGUUUUUAAUUUAGAUGAAUGCCUAUGCGGUUUGGAAUACUUACAAUUCUUUGAUUGUUUUUCCGUAGAUAUGCGGCGAUAUCCACGGGCAGUUCUAUGAUAUGAAAGAGCUUUUUAAAGUAGGAGGCGAUUGCCCUAAGACAAAUUAUUUGUUUCUCGGAGAUUUUGUCGAUAGAGGGUUUUACUCGGUGGAAACCUUUCUACUUAUGCUAGCUUUGAAGGUAAUCUAUAUAUAUACAUGUGUGUAUUCGAAAGGUGCGUUGAAAGUUUCUUCUUUUGAUAAUUUGAGGAUCAUCAGGUGAGAUAUCCGGAUCGCAUAACACUCAUUAGAGGGAACCAUGAAAGUCGUCAAAUCACACAGGUUAAACAAUUUUAUUUGGUUACACUGUUGAAUUAUCGUGUUUUACGGAGUACUGAAUCACUGUUGUAUCUUAUCAGGUAUAUGGAUUCUAUGAUGAGUGCCUGCGUAAGUAUGGCUCGGUGAAUGUUUGGAGAUAUUGUACUGACAUAUUUGAUUAUUUAAGGUUUGCCUAUUUCCAUUAUUAGAAAAUAUAAUCAGCGGCAUCUGUAGGUUGGAGGGCGAGUAAUGUUUCCGAUUGUCAAGGGCGAGUUUUAAGUACCAUAGCUGAUGAUAUUUUAUGUUGUCAUCGAUUAUUGUAUGUUAGUCUUUCAGCCCUUAUCGAGAACAAAAUUUUUAGCAUCCAUGGUGGUCUCUCUCCUGUAAUAUCAACUUUGGAUCAGGUCAAAGAAGUACUAUCUUAAAUUAUUCAGUUAUUAUCUGAAGCUUUAUAUGGGCGGUACUAAUAUGUUAUUUCUUCCAGAUUCGGAUAAUUGAUCGGAAGCAAGAAGUACCUCAUGAUGGUGCCAUGUGUGAUCUGUUGUGGUCAGACCCAGAGGAGAAUGUCGACGGUUGGGGUUUGAGUCCCCGUGGUGCAGGCUUCCUCUUCGGCAGCAGUGUCGUUACUUCGUUCAACCACACAAACAAUAUUGACUAUAUAUGCCGUGCGCAUCAGUUGGUUAUGGAAGGGUACAAAUGGAUGUUCAAUAACCAGAUAGUCACGGUCUGGUCCGCUCCCAAUUACUGUUACAGGUAAAUGAUCAACUCGAGAUUUUUUUUCUCUUCCAUUGUGCCGUGGCUUAAUGGUUGGUUCUUGCUCGUGUUACAGAUGUGGUAAUGUUGCUGCAAUCCUUGAGCUGGAUGAGAAUCUUAACAAGCAAUUCCUGGUUUUUGAUGCAGCACCACAGGUUUGUACAUAAAAUACUUACAACCGACUGCCAAAUGCAAAAAUCACAUGAAACAAUAACUAGUUCAAUUUUUUUUGCAUUAGAAAUAUGCUACAAUCAGUAAAAGUAUCAUGGAGACCCUUGUAUUAGGAGUUGGAUUGCAUUUUGCUUUCUCUACUAAAAAAAUGACAAAUCAGUCCCUAUGAGUAAAUUGGUCUUUCUAUUAAAAAUUUAUCCAUUUCUACCAUUAAAAACUGGUCUCUUUAUGUUAACAUGAGGUACACAUGGCACGCCACAUGUCACUAUUUGGUUAUUCAGACAAUUAUGCGAGGUUUUAACAGUAGGAAUAGAUGACAGUUCACUCUUUGAUCUAAUGUAGAGGGAUUAAUUUGCCCAUUUUUUUAGUACAGGGGGAAAAUGCAAUCUCCUCCAUGGUAUGUUUACCGUUACAAUUUAAUGUCUGAACCAUAUUUUCCUCCUACCGAACAGCGUAUCCUCAAAAGUUCAUGAGCCAUUCACUUUCAUUUAAAUAGGUUACAUCAUACAGUUUAUUGGACUUACCCAAUGUUUAUUAUCAAAUGUAGGAUUCAAGAGGUACUCCGGCCAAACGACCUGCACCCGAUUACUUUCUAUGAACCAGAUGUGAAAUCCUACCUUUAGUAGUCUGCUCCACUUAAAUCGAUCGAGAGGAUAUAGUCACUUUGUGCAUAUACAUUCUCCUACGAAAGUAGAAAAAAAUCAACGACAAUGAUGAACAGGAUUUGUGAUGAGAUUGUUUCAAUCAGCUUGCCGUUGUUUUUCGAUUGAUAUGUGCUUUUUAUUUUUUCAAUUGUUGGUAUAGAGAAUGAUUCUUAAACUAGAGAUUGUAUAGGAACAACACAGGCUGAAUUGUCAAAACUACAAUUCUUAAAAGGUCUAAUUUUGGUUUUGGUCCCUUCACCAUCCAUAAACCCUGUUCAAACUCCUAAAUUGGAGGAUAUUAUGCGCAUAAUUACGUUCUACUUUUAUAAUUUAGUUUUAUUAAACUGCUAACAUGGAGUUUUUUUCUUUUCCUGACACAAAAAAUCUCUUAGGAAGAUGAAUUGGAAUGGAUGCUUUUCUUAAUAUUAGAAAUUCCAUUUAUUAUUAAGUGGAAUAUCGCAAAUUUGAGCAUGAUAGAGGGAUAAAAUUAUAAUUUGACCAUUUCUCAAGUUGGUUUUUUGCAACUGAUUUUUUCUGGGGGGAUUAAUAAUAAGAAAUAUUUUAAUUAAGAAAAUGAGGUGCUUUGUAGAUUAUUUUUGAAAAUGUAUCGUUUUAAACAGAAAAAAUUAAUGUCAUGUUGUCAAGCGACACUGUUCCAAAAGUACAUUUAUCAUUACUAAAUGAUUCUAAUUAAAAAAAUAUUUUAAGUGAUGUCUUGAUCCUAUACAACACCUAAAAAUUAUUGAAAUACGAGAAUUUUAAUAAAUACAAAAAAAUAGUACGAUAUAUUGAUGUCGUUUGAUUAAAUAGCGACAUCAAUUUAAAAUUAAAAAAAAAUUAUGUAGUGUAUUAGGGGAGGAACUGUUGUGUCUGAUUGAUCACAUUGACGGCAAAGGGCCAAGUCAAUGCUGCCUGAAUGUGACCAAUCGGCCAAAGCAGCCCCUGCCCCAAUACACAUAUCUUCUUCUUCUUCUUCUUCUUUUUUUCCUCAAACCAAUAUUUAAACAUUAGUCCCUUCCCCUCCUCCCACACAUAUAUUCAGCAUGAGCAAUGGUAAAAAAAAAAUUUCUCACAAGUUCGGAGUUUUGGACAUUUUAUCAAAUUGGCAAUGGUCAAUUUUCUUCUGUUUGUGAUAAUUUACUUAUUAUAUGUUUAUGUUUAUAUUUAUUUUUAAUGUUUAGAUUUAGGGUUUAAGGUUAUAUUAUAUGUUUAUAAUUUAUUUAUUGGAGUUUUGGGCAAUUUGUGAAAUUGUUUGUUUGAAGUUUUUGGUUUUUUUUUAAUUUUCAUAGUUGUAAUUUAUAUAUUAAUUAAUUAUGUUUAUAUUUUAUUUAUAGUGUUUUCGUUUUAGAAGUCAACUUAUGAAUCAGUGUGUAAUUGAAGUUUUUGUUUUUAUUAUUUUUUAUGUUUUUAAUUUAUUUUUUUUAAUAGAUUUGUUAUGUUUAUAUAUAUAUAUAUAUAUAUUUAAUAAAGAUAUUUAUAUUUUAAUAUUUAUUUGUGUAGAAUAGGAAUAUUUAGUUGGUGAUUAAUAUUAUUAUGUAGAUAUUUUAUUUAAAAAAUAUGAAAAAAAUAUUCACGAAAAUAGAUUAAGAUAAAAUUUAUUUACUUAUUAAAAUAGGUUGAGUUGAGAAUUAUUUACAAGAAUGUUGUUAUUAUUUAGGGUUAUUAAUCUAAAAAAUACUAAAUACCGAAAAAGGGUGGGAAAAAUUGUUUACUAGGAUGUUUGGAAGAGUUAUAUUGUAUGUGCUUAUACAUUGAAAUGACUUCAUUGAUAAGACCAAUUGAUCAUACUGCUUUGAUAAUUAAUGUUACUUGUUAUUUAUUUAAAUAGGAAUGUUAUUUAUUUAAACAAAAAAACAUGAUUGAUUAUUAAUAUUUUAAUUGGCAUAUUUAAGUAAUAUAAUAAUUGGUUAUGGGCAAGGUGAGUAUAGUGUCUUGGGAGUGUGUGUCACGCUCCGAGCUACGAGCUACGAGCUGGACAAUCGUAUUUUCUCGUAUUUGAAUGUUGUGAGAUGUGGGAGUGCACCAUCACUUUAGAAAAUGUUGCAUUGCAACUUUGACUCCCAGUUGACAAACUUGUGGUCACGAGUUCAAGUAAAGUAACCGAUAUUGUGUCGCUUUGCUAUCAGUUGCUUGGACGAUCACCGACUGAUGGUGCUACUAGAUUUAACACUUUAAAAUUUUGAUGGCUCAAGCAAAAUUUCGAAACUUUAUCGGAUGAUGCCUCUGAAUCAGAGAAAAUGUGCAUUGCUCGGGCGUUUAUAUUAGGGGACUCAUCUAAUAAUAGUCCACUUGAUGUACUUGCCUCUGUUUAUAGAUUUUUAAAUUUUCGAUUCGUACAGUUGGGGUUCAGUAAUAUUAGCCAAGUUAUAUCGUUAUUGAACUCGUUUCUAAAAGUCUAUGCAAAAUUUUAAUCCCAUUAAUUUGUGCACGAAACAUAUACUCACUCAUAUUUGACUAUUUGGGGAUAAAUAGGUGGCCUCUAGUAUUACUGAGCUCUUAGGUUCCUAUGAACAUUGUAACAUCUCUUAGCCGUAUCUGAUGCUGGGACAGGAUACGAGGCAUUAUCGGAUUUAUAACUCAAACCAGAACAGUAAGACUUUAACUUAUCAAUCGUCAACAUCAUUCAACACUAAUCCAACAUAUCAUGCUUAAAACAAUUAUAUAAGCUUAUACUAAAGUGACCAUUCUAUGUAGUCACAUAUAUACAAGCAUCUAAAUACCAUUUACAAAUUAAUCACAUUUCAACAUUCUUAUCAACUCAUCCAUAAUUACAUAUCAUUCAAACCAAAAUACCAAUUAUAAAUUUUAACACUAAAUGCACACAUCAUAUAAUGCUUUCGUAUCAAACCAACUUUUCUCAUAUCAAGUUAUAUCACAUAGCUUGAUCAUAAUACUCAAAAUUCAUCUCACAUUCAUAUAAACAAGUGACCAUGUAAUCAAUUUAUUAACUAGCCUAUACAUGCCAUAUUACCCAAUUUCAAAGAGUUUAGGAAUACCAAUUGCCUCCUGGAUAGUGUGAUGAAAUCUUCAAUGACUUCCAACCUGAUUGAGCAUUCGAAUAACUGUAAAAUACAGAGAAUAGACAGAGUAAGCUAAUAAGCUUAGUAGCUCGCAUAAUUAUCAGCACUGUAUAAAAGAUUUAACAUUAAGCUUGUCAUUUUAAGCAAUAAGAUUGCUUUUAAACCAGCCUCAUCUAAUUCAAUAUUUAUUUCCUUAACAGUCAUGUAAUUCAUGUGUAAUUUAUCACAUCUACUCACGUGUCAUAUAAAUUUAUCAAUGUCACUUGCUUGUCAAGUGUACCAUGUAUACCUGUACUGAUUUGUAUCAUCAUUUCUAUUCUCGCAGCAUCAUAAUUACAGUUGAACCCUUGAGACCAACAUCAAAAACCCUGUAUCUUGCAUACUAAAUGCCAUAAAUGUGACUAAACCAUUUAUAUCACAUAUCACCAAUACAAUAUUAAUAUCAUAGAAUUCAUAUAGCAUUAGGUCGAUUUAUUUCAUUACGUAUAACCUAUAACACCUUUAUAUAACCGAUAGUAGAAUUAUACCCGUAUAAAUAUUAACUCAUCAGUAACAUCAAUAAUUCAUAAUUUGUAACAAAUAAUCAUUUUACUUACUUACCUAAUUUUGAAUAACAAAUAAAUUAGGUCAUAUCUGACCAUCCAACUCGUCUUACACAUUCCGUACCACAUUGGCACCCGGUGUAAACCAGCUAGGAAUAAGCCUGAUAAAACUCACCGACUCAAGGCCUGCUAGGCUUUUAGCCUGAAUCAUUCAUCGGCACAAGGCCUGCUAGACCCAAGGUCUGAUAUUUAUCCACCGGCAAUAAGCCUACUAGGCACGAAGCCCGAUCAAAUUCUCCGACACAUAGCCUGCUAGGCUAGAAACCCGAAUAUCAUUUAUUCACAAUCAACUCAAGCACACUUUCAUUCAUAAGAAAAUUCGAUUAUCAUACAUUUUCCAUUCAAUUUCUCAAUAUCAAUACUUAAUCAAAACAACUCAAACAUUCCCAUUCUAUCCUUACUACAUUCGGCUAUUAUUCAUUUAGCCAUAAAUCCAAAAUUAACAUUUUAAACAAAUUGUUUUAUUCAAACAAGAACAUUUAAAUUUCUUAUAGACUUGCUACAUGGUAUCGUAUAUAGAUAUAUAUAAUCAUAUCAUUUUACUCAUCCAAUUUGUACAUCUAUCAUGCAACCUUCUUUACCAUUAUCAAUCACACAGCUUUACGAUCUAUAAUAUUAACCCUAUAGGUUUGAUAACCUGCUCAAAUUCAAAUUUAUAACUCAUAAAUACUUCUCAAGAAAUUCAAGGAAAAAAAUACUUUCAAUCAUUCCCAAUUACUCGAAAAGUCGCACACUUAGUGCCAAUAGUUAUUCAACAUUAUAUAUCGAAUUCGCACACUUAGUGCUAGAUACUUAAGCUUGCACACUUAGUGCUCAAUUAUCAGACCCGCACACUUAGUGCAAUUUUUACAUCUAUAUCCUUUUAUACUCGCACCCUCUGUGUCGAAAUUCGAUUACUCACUAUUCAUCAAUUCAAAUUUAUCAACUUUAUUUGCAUUCGGCAACCUCAAAUUUUUUUUUAUAUAUAUACAUUUCAAUUUGGCACAUAUGUGUAUAUAUAGUAUUUAAUUUAAUCAACAACAAAUAUUUCCUUAGUAACUUACCACAUACAAGGCAUUUAAUUUAUCAUAUAUUAAAGCUCAAUUAACUCCAAUAUACAUUUACUCAACCACAUAGUACUUCAUUACUUUCAAACACAAGAUCGAAUAUAUAUUAUGGCAUUCCAUCAUCAUGUAAAUUAAUAUAAUCAAGUACAAAGCCAUUUAACAUAUCUACCAUUACAUACUUAAAUUUGGCAGAUUAUCCAUCAUCUCUUAUAUCAUAUAAUUUUUUUAUCAAUUUAAUCAUAUAAUUCAAUGACUGCAACAUAUUCAUAGAGCCGAUAAAUUUUAGUUAUUUAUUCAUUCUGUAAACAAUUAACAUCAAUUAAAAACAAUUUUAGUAGCUAAUAAUUCGAUAUUUUUUUAACCAUACGAACUUACCUCGUGUAUCCGUCGACUAUUCGUCUACUUUCCGAUUUUUCCUCGAUCAAAAUCUUGAAUUCGUUUGGCUUGAUCUAAUUUAACCAAAUUUAACUCAAUUAUUCACUAACAUAAUCAAUUAAAUACAUAUACAAGUAUUUUGGCCAUUUUGCAAAAUAACCCUUAAAUUUUCAUACUUUAACAAUUUAGUCCUUAAUGCAUAAUUAUGCAAAAAUACACAAAACCCCAAUAUACAUGUAUUUAGCCGAAUUUUCUAUAAUAUUUAAACAGCCAUAAUUUCAUUUUAUUCACAUUUCUAACCACAAAAAUUCUAUCUUUUUCAAUUUAAUCCCAAAUACUCAAUUUCAUCAAAAAUCUCUUUAUAAAACUUGUAUAUCUAUAAACAACCAUCAAUAAUUUAACAAGAAAUAUUAAAACAAACAUGCACUCAUCAAUGGCACAUUUCAAAAACACAACCAAUUUCAGAAAUUGAGGUACGGGUCAGUUAAACCGAGCUACAACGAGCUCAAAAACAUAGAAAUCAUUAAAAACUGAUCAAAAACCGUACCUUAAUCCCUUAGAAAGCCAUGGCCGAAUGUUAAAGCUUCCAAAACCCUUUCUUUGUUUAAUUAUUCGGCUAAAGAUGAUGAAAACAUAAUAAAAAUAUCAUAUGGCUUUAUUUUAUUAAGCAUUAUUCUAAUUUACCAAAAUACCCAUGUUUAAUAACCAAAUAAAUUAUGAAAUUCAAGGUCCACUACCGUCCACUCAAAUAUGCAAUGGUAUAAUUUCCAUGCAAGGACUCCCAUUUAUAAAGCCAUUAUCAAGUAAUUCAUUUUACUAAUGGCACACAUAGUUUUCAUUUUACGCUAUUUAAUCCUUUUUACCUAAUUAACUAUUUAAUCGGUAAAAUUUCUUUACUAAACUUCACACAGUAAUACUACCACACUGUAAACAUUAUUAAAAUAAUAAAAAUAAUAUUUUUACUCGGUUAAGGGGUCCCGAAACCACCUGUUCCGAUCAGACUUGAAAUUGGGCUGUUACAAACAUUAUUUUGGGUCGAAGUUUACAUCAAAGAAUUGGUAGAAGAAAGCACCUCAUCAUGGGAUUUGCAGGUGGUCGCAACUUUUUUUCUAAUAAUAAUGCACAAUCCAUCUUGCAGUUGUUGAUUCCUACAGUGCCUUCCAAGGUUGGCUACUCCACAAUGAGUUGAGUGUUGGUCUCCAUAGAUAGUUUUGGUGAUUUAUUUGAAAAAUCAAGACUCUACCUAAGGUGGAGACUUGGUCAUGGUAUUCUAUCCAUUGCGGCAAAGACUGUUAGUACUAUAAUGUCAAAUGAUCCUUCUAUUAAGAGAUGUGGGAAUGGAUUAAAGGAUAUUUUGCAUGCUCUUAAGGUUUGUGCUUAUGCUAGGGAGGUUCUUACAUUAAGAGAGUUACAUCAAUUGGCUUGAAAAUGUAGUGAGAAUCGUGGUCAGUCAUGCUUACUCUAGCUUUAUUGUUUUUCUUUGGCAAAUAUGGAAUAUGCAUAAUGAGUUUGUGAUGCAAGGAAAGACGACUCCUCCUAGAAUGGCAUUUGAUCAUGCAUAGAUACUGCAAGCUAACUUUACUUGCACAAUUUCGACGACUACAUGUGAAGUGGGCUCCCUCUAUUAACUCAAUGUGGAUGGUGCUUACUUUGUGGGCGUGGUCGCAAGGGAUGUAGAUGGCUUUGUUACUAGAGGCCUUGCACAUUCGAUUCAAGUAGAUUUUCCUACUAAACUAGUAGAGGUGAGGCCCUUCACCUUGGCUAUAAAAUUUGCUAGGUAGGGAGGCUACUCCAACAUUAUUUUUAAUAACCAUAACAACCUUUUCUGUGCAAAGUGGAUACUCAGAUUAUUGGAUGUAAAAGCAGUCUCGAUUCUCAAUCCUUUUUUGCGAACCAAGAAAGCGAAGUCUCAGUUGAGCAGGCCCCCUGAAGGUGGAGCAAGUAACAUGACCACACCUUAGCUUGAUGAAGAUGGCGUGGUAAAAGUUGUAGCGGAAAUAGGCUUCAUCCUAUGAUUCUACUAAAAUAAGCGAAAAACAAUGGCAAAUGUAGUUGUAACAUCCAUUACCCGAGUAAAUUCAUGCAAUAAAUGUUAUAUUUAACAUUGAACAUACAUUUACAAUUUCAACCACUUUUAAAUAAUGAUUUCAAGGCCUUAUUAUACUUUUAAGAAUAUAGUUAGACUAUUAAUAAAGAUUAAUUGUGUAUAAAAUUUGUUUCAGGUCCCGUUUAAUUCCAAUAAAAAAAUUUAGUUGCAAGUUCAUAUGUCUCGAGACCAAGACCUACAUGUCCCAAGACAUAGCCAUGGCACUAUAGAAGUUUAGUUUCAAAGUUUCCCUGUCUUAAGAUAAAUGAGUAUAUGUCUCAAGAAAAAAUCCUUUAUAUCUCGAGACAUGGCAUUAUUAUUAUAGAUUUUUAUCUUUGAAGUUUCUAUAUCUUGAGACACAUUCGGCAUGUUUCGAGACUUGAAAUAGGGGACUUGAAAAAUACGCAUUUAAGACACUUCUAAACCACACUUAAGUGUCCAAAAUCAAUCCAACCAUAUACCACAACUCACGAACCGUAUAAUAUAUUAUAUUCAACAAUCUAAAACAUAUUAAACACAAGUGUGAGAUCAACUAAACACUCACUUUCUUAUACAAAUACUUCACCUGUGUACAUACCAUAUAUUGGGAUCAAAAUAAAGGAAGGUUUCAUACUCUUUUCCGAGUCUUUGAGAUGUGAAGAGACUGAUCCUCAAUAAAUCCUCAUUUCACGUCUUUACCUACACGUUCAAAAUAAUGCGGUAAGCUUGUGAAAGCUUAGUAAGUACAACGAGAAUUAAACCUACCUUUUCAUAAUUAAAUGUAAAAAAUACAAAAAUGUUAUAAUAAAUAAUUUAAGAACUUAAUAGCAAUAGAAUUUCUAUGUUAUACUCCAUUUAUUAUUCUUGGAUUCAUUAUUAUUUCAAUCACUUAUUAAUCUUGUCAUAAUGAUCAUAAUUCUUUUAAAUUUUAUCAGAUGCUCAAUGUCGACUUAAUAGAACAUGCAAGAUAUACAAAAGUAAUACAGAGAUACACUAAAGUGCAAUAAUAGUACAAAAUAGUAUCGGAGUGCAAUGUCAGAACAGAAUAGCACUGAAGUGCUUAAUCAAAACAGAGUGACAUUGAAGUGCAUUAACAAAACAAAGAGCACGUUUAAAUGCUUCCUAAUGGCAUGUAAUCUAUAUUCUACUAGUUCAUAUUUUGUCUAGAUAGACAAAUAUAACAAAAUCAAAUUCCUAUCUGCAUUUCAGAAUAGAAUUAUAUACUUUUAAAUUAUUUUCAAAUUAAUUCCCAUCAACUCAAUAAUCACGCUCGUAGCAAUUCAAUAUGGUCUCACAAAUCAUUUAAUAACAUACAUCACUUCAUAUAUAUAUAUACAUGUAUGUAUGUAUCUUCUUCUUCUACAACUACUCUUUGGCUAGCUCUUUGUAUUCGUCAUCAACUUGUUCAUUAUCUUCUUCUUCUUUUUUCUUCAUUUUCAUAUCAAAAUAUACAAUAUUUACUUAUCGAAAUUAUAAUUAAAUAACAAAUCUAUGAUCUUUGAACAAAACUAACAUGAAAUUCAUUAAAAAAAACUUAUCAUAUUGACCUUAAUUUCUUAUGAUCAAACCCUAAUUCUUAUUUUCUCUCUCCUCCAAGACAAUUAUGGAUGCACUUCUCAUGAAACUAAAAUAACUACUAAGUUUAUUUCACUAAAUAUUCAUGAAGGAAGUUGGAGGAGUUAAGCUUAGAAAGCUUGGAGAUGGUGGAAAGGAUCCAUUUGUAAUAAAAACAAAAGUUGUAAAGACGGAGAAAAGAGGGUGGCGUGAGAAUGAGAGAAAGAUAUCAUUAUCUUUUCUACACCAUUCUAAAAUAAAAUCUAUUAAUUUAAUAAUUAAAAAUAAUAAAUAUUAAAAUAUUUCCACUAAUUAUAAAUUUAUACCAAUUUAAUCCUUAAUCAUUACCAUGUCAGAAUUAUUUAAAUUAUAAAUUGAUCAUUUAAUCCCUCAACUUUCUCUACAAUAUAUUCAUGAGUCAUGCUGUCUUUUAACAAAAUUUCACCUCUAGUCCCUCAACUUUCUCUACACUUUAUGCCAAGUAUUUACCCUUCCAAAGCUCGCCACCUCACCAAUAACAAGGACCCCUCCGAGGGCCACCUGUCACUUGUAAGGUGUGUCGACCCAUCAUUAUGUAGAUUGGGAGGAUUUUGUGAAACAACAUAUGGCUUAAGAUCCUAACAUAUAUAUACUCUUACUUAUUACGAAAAGGGAACAUAUUCUCUCUCCUUAAUCUCUCGACACAAUUAACUUCUCUCUCCUUAAUCUCUCGACACAAUUAACCUUGUGUGAACCUUCAUCAACUCUAACCGUCUAAACUUUUUUCUUUUUCCUACUCCUACUUUGUGUCUGACAUGUCUGAAAAGCAUGCUUAUAAAGGGUUAUACACUUGUAGGAUCGAAAUGAUUUCAAUUCAAGUCAAUUUAAAUCUUAAAAUUUUCAAAUUAUUUCAAUUUGGUUUAGUUUCAUGUCCAGACCAAUUUUUUUUUCAAGUCGUAUUAUAUUCAAGUUUUAAUCUCAACUAUUCAAUUGAGAUCAUUUAGGGUUCGAACCAGAUCAAGUUUGAAAUAUUCCAAAUUUAAAUCAUUUUAGAUUUAAACCAUUUAAAUCAUUUCGGAUUCAAAUGAACUUCAACUUCAGGUCAACUGGACAAAUUUGAAUUAAAAAUCUUCUAUGAUCAAAUAAAAUGGAGUGAAAAUUAAAUUAAAUUGAAUUGAAUUAACAAGUCUAAACGAUUGUUACUUGACAAUAUAUCAGAUUUUCUUUGGGCUUUUCCCUCCAUAUGCAUAGUUUUGGAUUUCUCUUGUCGUUUUCUCACUCUGAAUAAAAUUGGCUGAAAAAAUAAAGACAAAAUUGUAAUAAAAAAACAUGAUGAAACAUGAUCUGAUUCUCGAAUGAAAAUUACAAGACAAGUAACAGUUGUUCAUAAUCUCCAAACUCUAUUUAAAUAAAUAAAAACCCUUCACAAAUCAACCCAUAUAAUUCAAAACACCAGAAAUGGGUAACACUUAAUGACUGGCCGAUGGAUUAGUCAGCAAUUCAAGUGAUUUCUUUAAGUGCUCGACUGCCGUCGACACUUCAUCAAAUGCUAAGGCCCCAACCGCAAACCGAGCAGCCUUGUGUGCCUCGGCGAUUUUCUCCGGCGGCGGUUGGUAAUUGCUGUCGUAUUGGUAUUUCUCAGAAGGAGGUGGUGAAGGUUCCGCGAUUUUCCCGUUUCUGCUACUUGAAGAGUAUUGAGCGGUUGUUGAUGGAUAGCUUGUUGUCGGAGGAGCUGACUGGGGAGGAUUGUAAGGAGUCUCAGAACCUUGAUAGGAUGAUGGAUAGUGAGACGGGGCCGAUUGUGGAGGAUUGUAAGGAGUCUCGGAACCUUGAUAGGAUGAUGGAUAGUGAGACGGGGCUGUAGGUAAACUACUCUCCGUGAAACUCGGAUAUGACUGGAAAUUAGCAAAUGAACAAGAGGCAGAAGAUUCGUGGGGUGGGUAAUUAACUGGCAUAUGCGGUGGCAAAUCUUGUCGAUAGGGUUGAUAGAAUGGUUGAUGAAAGUCUCGUUGGGGUUCGUGCUGGUGCGAGGAGGAUAGAUCAUGAGUAGGGUAACCGUCAGAAGGAAAUGAAGGAGGUGACGGUGAAAUAUUCGAAGAAUGCUGACCAUCAAACUUAUCAUGGAAUUGAGAUUGUGGUGGAAUAUAACGCUGGUUAUUUACUUCAUCAUGAAACUGAGGUGAUGUACUGGACAUUUGUCUCGGACUGGUAACUGCAGGUUCGUGCUGUCCGAGAUCCUACAAGGACAAGCAUAGAUCAAGAUUAUUGAGAAUUUUGAGUAUCUGUCAGUGACAUUCAGUUCAUACAAUGACUAAAGCAUUGUUCUGAUUGGAGACAUACAUAUGCAACACCAGGUGUAGCUGAUGGAAUUGACAAAUCUUCAUCACCAUUUGGAGGGCCCGGGAUGGGCUUCCUUCCUUCUUUCAAAGCUUUCCUAAUAUCAGCAGCUUUCCAAACGGCAUACUUCUGUUUCUGCUCAAGCUGCAGAAGAAAACCAUAAAAGUCUCGAAACUGAGAAACACCACUAAGACAUUACAGUGCAAGCGAUCACCAGCAUUACAGAAGAAGAGAACAUUAUAACAAGUAGAAACUCACAUCAGGCUGAAGUUCACCAAACUGGUUUAAAAUCUCGAAGAAAAUGCUGGCAGCGUAAAAUGUCUUUGCCGUAUUCCUGUACCAAGCUCCAAAGUUAAUCUUAUAACACUUAUAGAUACAUCAAACUACUAAAGUAAAAGGGUCAAAGGUCGCAAUUGAAGGAACUUUUCAAAUUUAGAAGAUAAUGCGAUAUACAUUUAACCAAAACUGCAACCAUGCUAUUUAGCUCAAUAAAUGAGCUGAUUGCCACAGGUUCCUCGUACCUCCAAAAAAGGUAAGCCUCAAAGGCAUGGAGACAAAAUAAGAUCUAAUACAAUGGCCAUAUAUAAUAAAGAUUCACUUACAGGUCUGCUCGUCCAGCACGAUCUUGUUUGUCUGCCUUUCCAAAGACAUUCAAUGCAAAGCCCUCUAGAUGUAAAUGAUCUUCAGGUCCCAACCUCAGCGUUUUCUUAUCCUGCAAUGCAUCAAAUAUCCUUGGAUAUCAAAAUCCUCUAACAAUAACGAGGAGAGAUAUAUAGUUUACAUAAAUAAAUAAAAAAAUUUCCUCCUCCCUGAAAGAUAACAUUGAUAACAUUGACAAAUGAACAAAGACCUUUAAACAAUGUAAGGGCAUUACAGGCAGCAUAAACAUGGCAUAAAGUAGAUGCUGCAAAGUGGAUCCCACCAAUUGAUUUUGCAUAAGUUAAGAAAGCCACCAAGCAAAUUUUAACUAGUGACUUGGAGCCUCAGUACUAGUGCAUAAUUUGGAUUUAACUUAUUACUUAAAGUUCCCUAAACUAUGACCCUGAGAUUCCUAAACUAUGAGCCCAAGUUUCCUAAACUACAAGCCUCGGUACUAGUGCAUAGUUUGGAUUUAACUUAUUGCCUAGAAUUUCCUAAACUAUGAGCCCAAGUUCCAAACUUCAAAAUGUUCCAAUGUAUCAUUAUCAUAGCAAUUAAGACCAAUCUAGAACCAAGGCAUUGUUCAGGGACACCUUGCACUAUUAAUCCAAAUUCAUAUAUAUCAUAAGACAACUGACUGUUAGGAUAAACAACCCCAUAUCCAUGAUCAACAAAAAGCAAUCAGUUCAUAAUAAAGAAAUAAAUAUAUUUUCCUCCUGAAAGAUAACAUUGAUUACAAAUGAAGAAAGAACCUUUAAACAAUGUAAGGGCAUUACAGGCAGCAUAAACACAGCAUAAAAGUUGAUGCUGCAAAGCGGAUCCCAACAAUUGAUUUUGCACAUUAAGAGUAAGCCACCAGGCAAAAUUUUAACUAGUGACCUGGAGCCUCAGUACUAGUGCAGUCUGGAUUUAACUUGUAGUUUAAAGUUUCCUAAACCAUGACCCUAAGAUUCCUAAAUUAUGACCCAAAGUCCCAAGCUUCAAAACGUUCUAGCAUAUCGGUAUGGUAUCAAUUAAGCCUUUUCAUCAGUCUAGCCAUCAGCUUAGGUGUUAAAUGUCAACGCGGAUCAGAUAUGGAGAAUAUUUAAAACAUGUGAAUCAAAUUUUAAACACAUGUAUACAUAUUGUAUGGAAAUAUUAAGAGAGGGAAAGAGAGAGAGCUUUGAUCAAUUGUUUAACUAACUUUUGUCUUCUACUGCUUUUUAACAUGCCAUAUUCAAAUUAUCCAUAUAACAAGUACAAACAUUUUUAAAAUUUGAUCACAUGCUCCAUAUUAUAUUCAAAUUCACAUUUGACGGGAAAAGCCAGAUCGAUAUAGUACUAUACUGUAAGGCCUCAACUAAAACCUUUUGAAGUUUGGGGCCAAUUUCGAAUCAGGGCAUAGUUUGGGACAUCUUGUACAAUUAACCCAAAUUUAUAUAUAUCAAAUGACAAAAUGGUACAAUAAACAAUCACGUAGUGAUGAUCAAUACAAAGCAAACCGGUAACAGAAAGGAAAUAUAUUUUCCUUCUUCUGAAAGAUAACAUAAUUACAAAUGAAGAAAGAACUUUUAGACAAUGUGAGGGCAUUACAGGCAGCAUAAACAAGGUAUAAAAGUCGACCCUGCUAAGCAGAUCCCCAACAAUCGAUUUCGCACAUUAAGAUUAAGCCACCAGAUAAUUUUUAACUAACAACCUAAAGCCUCCAAGGUACUAGUGCAAAACAGCAACUCUCAAAAAAACCAAAAAUUAGACCCAAUUGAUUAAACAGUUCUAAGAUCAAUCAUAAAAUCGCAUCAAUCAAUCAUAAACAUCUGAUUCAACAUUAUAGAUCAAGUUUUGUCAUAAAGUAAACUAUACCUAAAUAAUUAAACAAUUCAAAUCAAAAUACCCAUAAUUUAAAACAACCUUUUCAAGCUGCUUCAUGAGAGAAACAAGAAGAGAAUUGGUGGUUUUGGUUCUUUCACUCUGGGGUAUCCUCAAUCCUUUUUCCAUUGCAUAUAAACGACCUUUAACCCAAAAAAAAAAAAUCAAAGCCUUAAAAAACGAUCUAAUUAGCUUCCACAAAUAAAUAAAUAAAAAGAUUAACAAUAAAAAAGGAUUUACAGUAAUAAGCAACGAGAGGCUCAUGUUUUUGAAGCUCAUCGGCUCGUUGAAGGUACGGUAACAGUAGCUUCGCUGGCUCGUUAUCGCUUGCCAUUGCCUUCUUUUUUCUUUUUUCUUUUUUUUUUUUUCUUAAACCUGUAAUCAAAUAAGGAAAAAAAGAAGUGUUUUGAGAGAAAUCUCAAGAAGUGAAAGAAACAAAACCUACGUCGUUUUAUACGAGCAAGAACCUUCGUAGUUGAAAGUUAUGACAAAGGUGAAAUUCUGGUUUUAAUCCCUGCAAAAUGCUUAACCUAAAAUUUAGUCCUUAUACCUUAAUUUGGUAUUAUUUGGUUCACCUAUAUUUAUUAAUGGGUAAAAGUACAUCGAGGCUCUUGUACCAGGAGUUCGAUUGCAAUUUCUCCUUUUACUCAAAAAAGGAUAAAUUAGUCCAUAUAUAUUAGAUCAAAAAGUAAAUAUGUACUUCUGUUAAAAAAUAGUCCAUGGACGUCAACAUAAUGUACACAUAGCACGCCACAUAUAACAGUUUGGGUAUUUCAUCAAUCGUACCAAUUUUUAGCAAUAGAAAUGGAUGAAAUUUUUAGUAGAAAGGAUCACUUUGCUCAUCUAAUUUACAUAGAUUAAUUUGCUUAUUUUUUUAAUAUUGUCUUAAAAUGCAAUCUAAAUCCUAAUAUAAGAGUCUUCAUGGUACUUUUAUCGGUAAUAUUUGGUACACCAAUAUUUAUUAAUGUUAGUCCUUAGUCCAAACCAUUAAUACCAUUAAAAAAUCUUAAUUAUUCAACUAAUAUAAGUUAUUUUUUAGUAAAAUGAUACGAAAAUGAUAGCUUAAGUAUUUUUUUUUUUAAAAAAAAACUUAAGUAAAAAUAAUAUAGUAUAGUUUAGAAGACAAUUUUGUAGUUAAGAAAAAUUAAAAAAAAAUAAAUAAAUAAAACAAUGCUUUCUUUUUACUUCAAUUUAUUCGUCGUAUUUUUUAAAGGUAUAAUGAUAAAUUUAGUUUUCAAUAUUUAUAUUUCUAUCAGUUUGGCCCUUAUUCUUUUUUUAUCUAAAUUUAACCAUUAACCUUUAAAAAAGAGCCAAACAGUUCUUCUCUAAAGAAAUGUUGGCUAAAACAUUAAUUUUUAAUAAUGUUGGUGUUGCAACCCGUGUGACAAUCCAUGUGCAUUUCAUGCUAAAUUCAAUAAUUAUAGAAAAAAUAAAAAUAUAUAUAUCAAAUUUAAAAAAUAUAUAUAAAAAAUUCAUAAAGAUUAAAAAAAAUAGCAUGAAGUACAUGAAUGCUGCCAUGUUUUAAAUUUUAACAUUUUAGUCCAUAUUCCCAUUAAAAAAAUCAAUUAGACUUUUUAUUAAAAGGUCAAUAGUCAAAUUUGACUAUUUUUAAAAGUUUAAGGGUCAAAUUUAACUCGAAUAAAGAAUAAAGACCAAAUUGACAAGAAAUAUAAUCAUUAAGGGCUAAAUUUGACAUUAUACAUUUUUUACCGGAUCAAUAAAAUUGAAAUAAAAAUAAUGUUGGUAUUUCUUUAGUUAUUAGUUUGUUAAUUUGGUUCAAAUCGAAAAUACAAGACGAUUGAAUAAAACCAAUGAUCUCUUAGUUCUAUUAGCAAUAAUGUUGAAGUUUAUAAGUCAUAGAAAAUCCAAGUUCUGAGUCUCAUGUGUAAUUACCAUUUAUGAGCUCAACAAAAAUCCUUCAAACCCUUAAAACGAAAGAUAAGACAGUAAUUACCAUUUAUGAGCUCAACGAAAAUCUUUCAAACCCUUAAAACGCUUGAAACUGAGCAAAAAGAUGAAAACCAACUCCCAAAUGCUAAAUAUUUAUAUCACAUUAUUAAGCAAAUAUAACAGUAUAUAGUAUACAAUCCAGUCACUAACUAUAUCCCUUACAAACAACAGCUCUUGGAUUCAAACCAAUACACUAAAUAAACAAUCUGGUAAUAACAAGACAAAAGGGGUUGUUAAAUCUCUCAUGGUGAUGCCGGAACCGAAUCCGUUCUCGAAACGUGGGAGGCAGCGUCUUCUUUUGAAACCGUAACGAUGUUGGCUGGAGCUGCCAACUUCAUACUGUCUCUCUUCCCGUCUUUUCCUGCAGAUCUGUUGCCAUGUUGAUUAGCAUUUAGAGACAACCGCCUGCUCGGGGUUCCAUUGGCUCCUCCAUUUGCUCGAGGCCCCACCACCUUCUUUGGACCAGCUGGCCGAACAGGGCUUAGCCUUGAACCAAAGGCGGUUUCUUGCUCCAUGUUUUGCUGCUCACUGACCUUUUUCUGACCCUAAAUAUGAAAAAUGUCAGUGUUAGCUGAAAAAUCUUUUUAGUUCACCUUCUUGGACUUCUAGAACCUGACCUAAUCUCAUUUGACCAACCUAAAUCUGAAAAAUGAUUCAAACCUAGAAUGACCUGCACCCAAAAUAACUCGAACUUGACUGUCAAACCUGAAUGAUCUAACCCCGAAAUGAUAGAUAAGUAUGUUCAAUGCAGAAUCAUACCUCAUACUCAUGACUAAAUAUGUGUCGUAUAAUGGUCUAAAGCAUUGGUACUAUAAGGAAAAUGAAAAGUCGGAGCAACAUAAUUCUUCAAAUUAAGAUCUAGGUUCAUGCUAUAAGUUAUAUAGUAUGAACUAAUAACAAAUCAAAACUGGUAAAAGUAUCAUGAAGGCGACUAUAUUAGGAGUCGAAUUGCAUUUUACCCUAUCUACUCAAAAAUAUGGGUAAAUUAAUACAUAUACGAUAGAUCAAAGAACAAAUUAAUAUUUCUUUUAAAAAUUUCAUCCAUUUCUAUCGGUAAAAAUUGGUCCUCAUACAUCAGGAUGAGGUACACGUGGCACUACUUAGCUAUUCCGUCAAACACGCCAAUUUUAACAAUACAAAUGGAUAAAAUUUUUAAUAGAAAAGACUAAUUUGCUCUUUAAUUUAAUGCAUAGGGACUAAUUUACUCAUUUUUUUUAGUAGAGGGGCAAAAUGCAAUUUGACUUCCAGUACAAGGGUCUUCAUGGUACUUUUACCAUCAAAACCAUACCCUAAGCCUCCUCUUUUCUUCUUCUCGUUCUUGCCUCAACAUUGCAUAUUCAUCUAGCAUGGCAAGAAGGGGAACACCAUCAUACAUAAACGAUAUGCCACGAUCUUCUUCCCAAGCUUGAGUUUUGGCAACCAAAGUGUCAACCAUACCUACAGAAGCCCAAUAAUACCAAUGAAUAAAAAAACUAUUGCCAUGCAUGCAUGCUAAACAUCAUUUCAUCUCUCAAAAUUUGAAUCCCAUGCAAUAGCAAUAUGAUGACCAUCUUAAGGUAUAUACACGAAUUUUAUUCACUAUCAAACCUCCAUCUUUGAUAUAUGCAUACAUAUGUACGUGUAUAUAUAUAUUGAGCCUCAUCAAAGGUAGAUUACAAGGCAAUAUAUUGAAUCGCUAACAACAGUUCAGGGAAAUACAAGAGUGCACAUUAGCCACAGAUGGAAUAUGAAUCAUACAUCAUUAAACUAUUACUCUAGAUAGUCCUACCUGGAAUUUUGUUGACCAGAAUCCGAGCUUUCUCAGCACGCUUGAGAUUUAAGUGUGCACCCCUACUUGCAUUGUACCGAUUCUCGUCCUGUUUCAGCAGGAAAGUAUCAGUGGAAGCAAAACACUUAAUUUCAGAUAGAAGAAAUAAGCUUAUGAGCAUUCACAAGGAAGAACACCAGCAUAUCGGUGUCUUUAGUACUAUUUUUAUACUUAAUGUACCAUAUUUGAAAAAACAAAAAAUGUUUAAAAGUGAACAUGGCACUUCAGGCCAAUAUUCUUAAUUGUAUUGUGUUAGGAUGAAAUAUAGGACAACUGUAUAAAGACACAAAUCAGCACACCCACCGACAGGGAAAAGAGCGGUGGCAGCAAGAAGUCAAAGAGAAACAAAGGCUGAUGAGUGAUAUCGUAAAUACCCGAUUGUAGUCUUCAAGCCAACUUUCUUCUUCACAAGCUGACAUCCACUUUUCAACCCGGUCCAAUAUUUCUUUUCGACUAAGGGCUUCUUCUUUUGCUUUCAUUAUCUGAUUAUCCAUGUCAGCUAGUAAUUCAGUAGGCUCAACAUUACCAGAAUCAAUCAGAGCCAUAAUUUUCUCCCUAGCAGCUUCCGGAUCUAUCUCUAUAUGAACCGAGGCAAAUAUCUUCUCAAGCUCCAGUUGUCUUUUCAAAGCUAUUUCCUUCAUUCUGCUUGACUUUAGCUUAUCGAGCCUAUCAACUUCCACCUCCGCCUUAAGGACAAGAGAAAAUGAAUUUAAAUAAGCAAUUGUUCUCGCUUAAACUUACAAACAAUCAAGCAAGAAACUUGAUUACCUGCUCAAUCAGAUCUAGAGCAAGAGCACCAGGAACAGUCACUUUAUCAACCAAUGCAGAACUGUUGCAGGUAACAUGAUCGAAUAAUCUUCUUUCUUCUUCGGGAGUGUCCAUCAGAUUCCAAAGAUCAAUGAGCUGAGUAGCUAACUCUUGAAGCUGCCAAAAGAGGAAAACGUUGACUUCAAAUUUUAAAAACGAAGAAGAAUAUAUUCGCUAUCAAAAACAAAAGAGACCUUAUGAAGCCUCUGCUUCUUAUCUUCAUUUAGAGCUGAAACCGUCUUGGCCAACCUCGAUAGUGUAUCAUUGCUAAUGCUUUUUGACUGCACACCGGUAGAGUCACCUAAGCUUGGAUGAACUUCAGUUAUAGUACUAAAGAAAUCCAUUCCGAGGACAGCACAGAGAUCAUGUACAGUGCUGACAAAUUCAAGGACUUUAUUAAGUCUAUCACUCUGCAAUGCAAUGAAAAAAGUUAAUGGUAUUGGUUUAUAUAAAGACUAGAUACCAAGAUAUUGGAAAAAAUACCAUUGAGGCCCCUAUACUAGGAGCCACAUUGCAUUUUGCCCCUUCUACUAAAAAAUAGACAACUUAGUUCCUAUACGUUAGAUCAAAAGAGCAAAUUGAUCCUUUCUGUUAAAAAUUUCAUAAAUUUGUAUUGUUAAAAACUAGUGUAGCUAACGGAAUAAUCAAGUAGUGACAUAUGACGUGCCACGUGUACCCUCAUGCUACUGUACACAGAUCACUUUUUAAUAAUAGAAAUGGAAGGAAUUUUUAACAAAAGGACCAGUUUACUCUUUGAUCUAAUAUACAUGGACUAAUUUGUCCAUUUUUUGAGGGGACAAAAUGCAAUCCGAUUCAAGGGCUAUCAUGGCACUUUUACCACAGGAUAUUUAAGCCAAUGAAUUUUACCUUCUCUUUUUGAAGUUCUUUCAAUUUUACUUGAUACUCAUCCAACUUCUUCAAGGACAAAUCGGAUUCAUCGACCACAAGAGCACCUGUCUGUUCACUGCCAUUUCCAGCAAUUUCCCCACAUAUCUUCUGAAUCUGAGACCGUACAUCGGAAAACUCCUUAACUCUCUCCUCCUUUUGUUUCCAUAGCCGUUCAAGUGCUGGUGCUAUAGCAGCAAGUUGUUCCUUGAUUGUUUCGGAUGCCUUCUCUGGCUGUUAUCAAACCCAAACGAAUAACAUGGGCUGUAGCUCGAACUAUUUUACAGUAAACUUAUAAAUAAACAUUUAUUUUGCAUACCAAGAUUAAUAGCUCCCCACUUAUCCGUAGCAACUUUGAAUAUAAGGUGAAAUUAAGUGAUUACUCACAAUGCCAACAGAACUUUUGUCUCCGAGAGCUGAUACAAGUGUUGAAAGCUCGAGUUUGGCAUCGGAUAAGACCUGAAGAAGUUGUGCUCUCGAAUUUGCAGCUUGCUCAACCUUCCUCUUGUACACAUCCAAGCACUCUUGUUCUAUCUGAAGAAGCAUCUUGUCUCUCUCUUCAUAACUUUCACCCACUUCAUCCCAAAUUUCCUACGAUCAAAUGGAUAACAUUUUACCAGCUAUAUUUCUUACAAAAACAAACAGGUGCUAGAAACAAAGAUUUUAUCGGAGAAAGCAAACUUAGAAGCCAUAUUACCUGCAGUUUCUGCAUUAAAGAACCACAAGUGAUUUCUCCUAGAAGUGGGUUUUCAGCAUCUGCCAUUUUGCCUGCACCAUGGGGAGCAUUUAAUAAAUAUUACUACGUUUUUGUUUAAAAUCUUGAAGCACACACGAAAAAAAGCAGCAAGGAGAAAAUAAUAUAUAUACAUGCACACACAAACACACACCUUAUUGACUAGCUAGAAACAGCACUUUACUAGACUGAAUGACAUAAAACACCUAAAGCAAAAGUCACAAACAAUGGCAAAUCAUUAAAUUAGAAGAAGUUUCGAGAAUUAUAGUAGUAACUAAAGCAUAUAGGCAAAAGUAUCAUGGAGACCAUUGUAGUAGGAGUCAAUUUGCAUUUUGCCCUAAUUACUCAAAAAAUGAGCAAAUUAGUCCUUGUAAGUUAGACCAAAGAGCAAACUGAUCAUUCUGUACAAAUUUCGUCCAUUUCUGCUGAUAAAAACUGGUCCACGUGUUAACAUGAUGUAAGUGGCAACAAAAGUAUAAAUUCAAAAUGUACAAAGCUAGAUAAAAGAACCUCAAAAGGUGUAUAAACAAUGUGAGAUUCAACUAUGCCACUUAGCAAAGAAAUUAUAUUAUAUAAUGCCUCUAACAAGAAUUGAAAUAAGGUGAGUAACUUGAAGUAUUAUAAAAAGAACCAAAGUGCAAUUGAUGGAGCAAUUAAACCAGCAGAAAAUUUACAAAGAAUUUUAUGCAAGAACCUACAAAAAGUAAUCUUGAAUGUCUUGCUCCAAGAAUCUUUACUUCAAGAACCAAUAAAAACUAAACUAUUGAGCUUCCCAUAUGUUCACCAAAAAAGCAACACAAAAACAAAACUUAUUAGCAAUAUGAAACUCCAUCAUCACAUUCUUCACUCAAAAAAUCAACAAGCCCUUACUUCAAUUUCAUUAUAAAACCAAACAAUCAGCUUCAACAAUAAAAACCCAACUUCACAAAUUCACAACUUUCUCACCAUUUGUACUAAGAUAAAGACGACUGAAAUGCAGCAAAUAUAAAGAAAGAAAGUAUAAUGCAUACCCAGAUCUUGCUUUAAGAAGAGAUUUCUGGGUUUUUAACUUUUUUCAGAUCCAAAGCUUUGAUCUUUACGGAGACUGAACAAAGUUUGUGGGAGUGAGAGAAGCAGAGACAGAGAGACGAGAAGCCGAAAAAUGCAGAGUAAUGGGACCCUUUUUCAUUACAAAUUCUUGUGGUGGAUAAGUACCCGUAUUUUUAGGAAUAUUUACGAAUAUGACACUGUCAACGUAAGAAAAUAGCUGAAUGUACUUGGUAAAGUUAGUCCUAAUGACUAUAAAAUAAUUCUAUUUAAAUAGAAAAUGUUAAUUAUGUUAAAAUUUGGUAUUAUUUAAUUUUUUUUAUAGUAUAAAAAUUAAAUUGAUAUUUCGUAAAUAUAUUCAUCUAAAAAAAUAAAAAGUGUUAUUGAGUUUUAGUUCGAUUGAUAUGGGCAUUGUUGUUAAUUUAAGAUGACGUGAGUCUGAGUGCGUUAAAACGCAUUAUCCUCCUAUUUAUGGGUUAAGGGUGAGUUAUAGGUAGUUUUAGAUGUUAAUCACCUAACUAUUCAAAUUUUUUUUCAUCACCAAUUGGCUAAGGUAAAAAAAAUGAAACCACCAAAAAAUCCAAGAUAAUUGGUUGACCAAAAAAGACAAAUUUGAAUAGUUGCGCGACCAUUUUGUAACUUUUCAUAGUUUGGUGACUAAAAAAAAAAAGAAAACCAUAACUGAGUGACUACUAAAGAAGUUUACCCAAAUUUAAAAUGAUGGGUAAACUACAUCUUAGGUCAAUGAACUAUUAAUAAAUUUACAUUUUGAUCACUCAACUUAAAAAUGUUACAAAAUCAUCACUGAACUAUUCGUAAAUUUUUAUUUAAGUUAUUGAAUUGUUAAGUUUUUUUUUAAGUCUACCUAAUGAGCUUCAAGUGACAAUUCACGAUCAAUAUGGUGGAUCAAUACCCAUCAACGAAUAGAAGAACAUACUUCAUAACCAAAUCAAUCUGACGAUUGGUUUCAAAGAGUACAGAAAAAAAUUAUUUGGAUUUUGGUUCGUAAAUUUGUAGCGUUCGAUUGGUACAAUCGGUGCAAAUGUAAGCCAUGCAAUAAUUUUAACAGUCUAAUAACUUAAAUGAAAGCUUUCAAAUGGUUUAAUAAUUAUUUUAUAGCUUUUUAAAAUUAAGUGAUCGAAAAGUAAUCUUACUAAUACCCAACAAAAUUAACUCGGACCAUCUUAAGUCAUGCUUGGACUUAAAAUUUUAUUUAAAAAAUUAAAUUAGAAAUCAAUCCAAAUCUAUCGUAAUAUAAACCAUAAUGAUUCUAAAAGUAAUUAAACUUGUACAUUGCACGGGAUAAGAAACUAGUUCAAAAUUAUAUGAUUAUUAUAAUAUAAAAUUUUAGAAUUAAACCAGACUUUACAUACACAUCAUUAGGUAAAAAAAUUUAUAUAAUUUUCGUUCAAACCAAUUUUGAUUAUUUUUUAAUAAUUAAAUUAUUCUAUGGUUUUAAAGUUAAUGAAAAUUAAUAUUUUUGAGGAUUUGUGUUAGGGGAGGACCCGUAAAAUAUAAAAUUUCAUUUUUGGCCUUUUAAAUUUUACAAGAUUUUAAUUUAAUAAAUAAUAAAAUUACACUUUAAUCCCUAAAAAUAUAAAUUUUUGAUUUAGUCUUUUAAAAAUUAUAAAAAUUUAAGCUAUUAGAAUUGUCAAAUGGCACUUCAACUCUAAUAAAAAUAUACAACUUAAUUUCAACUCCCCAAUAAAUUUUUUUUUUUUUUGGCAUCACCUUUGCUCUCAACAAUAUUGUCUCUAAAGUUUGAAUUUACAUUUCUUCCUUUAAAAUAUAAUAUAUUUUACUACUAUACCCAACAUUUAUUGGUAACUUCGAUUAUUGUUAUCAUAAGACAAAUCCCACGUAACAACAGCAUAUUUAAAGCCUAAAUGAUAUUAGCAUUCCCUUGCGACUAAACAUUACAUGUAACUAGCGUACAUGUAAUAUCACUUUCAACCGGAUCUUAAUUCAAUUGUGAAAUUAUUAAAAAUAUAAUAUUUUUAUAAAGCCACAAAUAUAUUUUUUAAGAGUAUUUUCUUUUUAAAUACAUUUUAAAAAUUACAUACGCAUAAUAAAAUCUAAACUUAGGACCUAAAAACCCUAUUUUAACCAAAGGCACGUAUUUUUUUUUUCAUUAUAUCGUGAGUGUACCAUAAUUUAUUAUAAUGUUACAAACUUGGCAUAUUAAUUGAGAUGGAAGAUUUGGAUAUUUGCAUUGUUUUUAGACUUGGUUCAAUCUGAGUACUGAACCAAUCAAUCGGAUUAGUUAAAUUCAUUUUUUUUCUAUUUUAAUAAUUUAUUUAAUUCAAUUAGGCAACUCGAUUGAACCAAUCAAAUCAUACACUAAUAGUUUAAUAUUAUUUUGAAUAGUUUUGAAUGAAAGAUAAAUAUGAUGAUUUGAAUGUCUCUUUUUUUUUAAACGAUAAUUUAUUUUAGAUUUUUAAUAAAAUAAAAUUAACCAUCCAAAAUCAACAUUUUCUACAUUAAGUGAUAAGUUAAGAAUGAGAAACUACAUUGAUUGCUACUUGAAACAGUUUUUUGAUGCCAUGGUACAUUGAUUCGUUUAAUAAUAGAAGUACUAAUUUAAUCCAGUCCCUGUAAUAUAGGGACCUACUGGAUAGGUUCACUUAAAAAAAAGUUAAAAACUCAGAUCAAUGUUACUUUGUUACAGCUGACUUGAUAGCUCGAAUUGCUUAAGUUUAGCUCAAGUUUAGCUCAGCUCGAUAAUGAUCGAAUCAAGAAGUAGUUCAUUCAUAACCCAAACCCUAAACAAGAGAUUGAUGACCAAAAAUAUAGAUGAAUCUUAACAUAGAAAACCUUCAUAUGUGUAUAGUUCUUUUAUCACAUAGGCAAAGUUCUUGAAAAUUUGCCAUUAAAAACUCAACCUAACCUACAAUCAAGCACCAGAGACUUUGUCACCUGUGUUAUUCUCGGUUGCACCAUCAUCCGUUGCUUGAGUAACACCAACCUCAGCCGGUCGAAUAACUCGAUCAUAGAGCAUGUAACCUGCCUGUAAUAAACAACAGAAACAUACAUUUACCGGUAACUAAAUUAACUAUGAACAUUUCGGUCAUUCAAAUUUCAAACGGCAAAUUGUGGUUAACAGAGACAAGGGACCUUGAGUCAAAUAAUGUAAUCGGUUACUAAUCAUAUUUCUCGACACAAAGUCGGAUUAGAAGAUAAUACCUUCAAAACAUGAGCAACCGUGCCAGGAGGCUUGGAAUUAUCCGGUAUUUGGAAUACCGCAUUGUGCCUGUGUGGAUCAAAUGGUUCAUUUCUAGGAUCGAAUUUUUCCACUCCAAACUUUCUAAAUACCUGAAAGCAGUAAACAUUCUAACUGGUCAGUAAUAAAACUCUAAUAUGUUAUAGAAACAGAUAUUGAGGCCAAACAUUGUCCAAGUCAGAAGAAACCUAUGUUACUUGGACUAGGAUAUAAUGAUCGGACACGGGUAUAUAUUUGACAUGGGUAUCUACAAAUUUUUCUCUUCUUUUUCAUGUAAUUAGAGAGUCCUUAAGGGUCUCCCCAAACCCAAGUCUGAAAAUGUGUCGAACAAGGAAGAAUUCAUAACUUGCAGGAUUAACUAAGCACACAUCACUGUGUAAACACAUUUUCAGAUGAAGUUCAAUGAUUUAAGAGGAAUCCAAUUCACCAAAUUUGUACCAUUUACCAGUAAACAGAUGCGAUAAUUGAACCCACAAAAGUUCGAGUAUGAAAAUUCUAACAACUCAGCUUCAUGAGAACUACCAAAAUUAUAGACAGGUUCAAAACUAACAACCUGAGUUUUGGCGAAAUAACAAAAAGCCUACCUCUCCAAGCUGCUUCUCAGUCAUUUCAACUCCUUCUAAGAGUGUUUUAAGGAGCGGUACAGCCCCAGCAGUGUCAUUGGAUUCAUCGAUCUUAGAGAAACUACCUUUAACAUGUGUAGAAGCCCUUCCUAAAUUGUCCGCAACAUCAAGUAAGCCCUUUGCGAAAUUCUGAAGCACAACAACAAACAAUUAGAAUCAAUUUCAGAUAUCCCAAACAGAAUUGGGUGGUUUAAUGAUUCAUCAACCUACCUGUAUUGCAAAUUUUUUCGAGUUCUCCGCUUCCCGUCUUGUCCUAGCCAUAACAUUCUCCAUUUCUGCAAGAGUUCGAACAACUUUGUCCUUCAUUUGUUCAAUCUCCGUUUGCUUGGUCUUCAAGAGUUCUUCUUUUUCCUCCACGAGUUUCACCAUAUCAGCCAUCGAUAAGUCACCAUCGCUCUCGGAAUCUGAAUCAGAAAACGCAGUUCGUUUAGCGGCUUUUCUCCUCCUUUUAUCAGAUUGAGGCAUCGUAUUUUGGGAUUCUGAGUUAAAACCUGAUUCUUUUGUAGCUUCAGCUUCUCCAGGAUUUGUAUCCUCACUCGGCUUCACAGGAUCUUGACCAUUAUUGUCUACGGCACUCCCAUGUUCCUUUUCGGAAGGCUCGGGUGAGGCCGACGAAGAGAUCCCAAAUCUUCGGAAAGCGUUCCAAUGGAGGUUUGAAUGAUGCAGCAAACACACACCGUUUGUAAUCACCUGCAUAGAUAAACUAAGUGAAUGCAACAUACAAUAAUGCACCAUAAUUCAACCAAAAUGCACUAAAAUGAGAAAUUUUAGGUAAAAGUAUUAUAAAGACCCUUAUACUAGGAGUCAAAUUGCAUUUUGCCCCCUUUACUAAAAAAAUGAGCAAAUUAGUCAUUGCAUAUCAGAUCAAAGAGCAAAUAGGUCUUUUUUAUUAAAAAAUUCAUCCAUUUUCUACCAUUAGAAACCGGUGUGGCUGACAGAAUAACACGCCAAGUGUACAUCAUAUCAUUCUAACAUACACCCGUUUUUUACAGUAGAAAUGAAUGAAUUUUUAACAGAAUAACCAGUUUGCUCUUUGAUGUAUAAGGACUAAUUUAAGAGGGGGAAAAUGUAAUUUAGCUCCUAGUACAAGUGCCUCAAUGAUACUUUUAUCGAAUUUUUAUCAAUAUGUAUGAAAUUGAUUAUGCUUUCAAGGAAUCAAUUUAUAAGUUUAAGAUCAUAAUUCCUAAAUGGUCAUUCAAUAUCUGAUUAAAAAAGAAAAAAAAUGAGAACCUUAGAACCAAACAAGAUACUGAUAAAAAUGAACAUGAAAAAAUAUGAAAUUCAAACUAAUAAAUCAUUAAUAAUGCAAUUAGUAACAUUCAUUUCAAUAACAGAAACUGAAAUUCUACUUCAAAGUGCUCAACUUUACAAAUCAGAACACAUAAUUUAAAUAAAAAAAGCAAAAUCAAUAGUAAUAAAAAAAAGAACAAAUCCCUCAAACCCUAGCAAAACCCUACCAGAACUAACCACAAAUUCAUUUAUUGUAACUAAUUUUUGUACCUUAUUCGGAGAUUCACUAACAAGAGAGUGAAACUGAGUGGAAAGGCUUGGAGAUUGAAAGCUCUUCGGAGCAGAGAGAAGCAAGGAGCGUGCACCAACGCUCCUUGAGACGCGUGACAGAGCCCUGGACAUCAACAUCUCGGAACAAGAAGAAGGAGGUUUAGGGUUUUAGAGGGUCAAAAAUGGGAAAUUCAAAAAAAUAUUAAUAGGGUUUUUAGAGAGAGAAAAAAGGGGAAAGAAGGGAAAGAAGGGAAGAAAUUUAGAGCGAGAGACCGUGAAUAUAGAGAAGAAAAAAACGAAGUUGGUUUUAUUUAUUGGUUGACUAAAGUAUCCUCUUAGUAGGAUUGAAAACGACAACGUUUAAAUAGUUGGAAUCGGUGAAUUUGAACGUUCUUUGAGGGUGUUAUUGUCUUUGUAUUAAUUGGUCGUUAGUUCUUUUGAUGUAUAAGAAUUUAGAAGCAUCGAGAAGGUUUUUAUUUUUUAAUUAUUAUUAAAUAUAUGUGGUCAGGACGUGUGGCCAAAACGGUAGCGUAUGGCAAACUUUAAUGCAAGUGAAAAUUUUGUAUGUUUUUAUUGUAUUUGGAUACUUACAUAAUUUUCAUAAAGUUUUUAUUAAAUAAUUUUUAACAUAAUCUUGCAUUUGUGGAGGUUAAUUUAUUCUAUUUAUAUGAUACGAUUUUUGGAUAUGACGUCUUAGGUAAGUCUCAUACAUGUACACGUAUUUUAUUUUAAGGUUAACACGUGUUUUAUAAGCAUGGGUUCGCUUACAUGAUUAUGCGAACCCACCACGUACGAACUCAUGUAAGCGAACUAUGCAAAUUAUCACUACUGAAGUAAGGAGGAUUGGGUCGGUCCUAGUCGGAUAACGGCUUGGUAAUGGCGAACACCAUAACAAGAUAAAAUAAUAUUUAGUAUUUUUUUUUUGUAAUUUUACUUUUCUUUAUAACAUUAAAGGUUAAUUUAAAAAAUAUAUAAAAAUAUUAAAAUUAUUAUCUUAGAUUUUUAGUGUUUUCAUUUUUGGUAUAUUUUCGAUUAAAUUUAGUUGAUAAAUUUAUUUUUUUAACUUUAUAAAUGAAAAGACCAUAAAUAAAUAAAUAAAAAGCAAAACUACAAAAAGAUUAAAUUACACAAAAUAUAAAUUUUAAGGAUUAAUUUUUUUAAAAUUAAGAAUAAAGUGACACAAUGUAUAAAUAUUAAGAGUUAAAGUUGUUAUCAUGCAAAAUUUAAAAGCUACUAUAUUAUCUUUUCGUUAUCCAUUUAGCAACUAGUGGCCAAAAAAGAUGGCCAAAGGUGAUUAUUUUAUAAAUUUUUCAUAAUUAAGUGACUAGAAAGAAAACUUAACAAUAACUGAGUGACUACUAAUGAAAUUUACUUUUAAUAUUAAAUGACUAAUUUAUAAAAAUUGGAUAAUUUGAAUAGACACUUAAUAAAACUCUAACAGCAACGCAGCUAGUGCUACUCAAACCCAGAUUACAACUAGGAUAAUAAACAUAUUAACCAUCUGACUAACACACGGGAUUCUCUUUUAACAUUAUAUUUAAGUUCCAUUAUACUUCUCGUAAAAAAAUGAACAACAAUAUGGACAGCUAAAUGAUUUUACAAAAAGAAAAAAAAAUACAAGAUGAGAUAAUUGGAAAUAAACUAUAUAACCCAAAUUUAAAAAGGUAAAAAAAAAACAAAGAAAAGAAAAACUCUAGAAUACCCUCCAAACACUAUGAACCUCUCACUCCCUCAAAAAGGGCAGUCUUGGAAUUUCCUAAUGUGUGAGAAAUCAAGAAAUACCAAUGGUCUUGGAAAGCAACCAUAGAACAAGAGAUAAUUCAAUGCCAAAAAUGGUGUGAAGUGUGCUCCUAUCUAACAUGAACCCAUAGAUUGUAAUCCCGGCUCUGUUGUUCUCAAAAUAUGUCACUGCAAAAUCAUCCCCACAAAAACACCAUCAAUGGCACAUCAAAUAAGAUUAACAAACAUUACACUUAGACAAUGUGUCGAUUGAGUAGGUCGAGUUGAUUUUGGUUUAAGUUAACAAAUGUCAGAUCAAUUGAGAGUUUAAAUUCUUUGAGUCAUUACAAGUUUGAAUCAUUCCAAGUUUAAUGUAUUUCAGGUUCAAGUCAUUACAGGUCAUUUCGAGUUUGAGUCAUUUUAAGUAGAUCAUUUUGAGUUUGAAUCAUUUAUAAAUAAGUUGGGAGUUUAGGUUAACUUUUUAUGGCCAAAAUGGGUUGUUUAUCUAGGUUGUUGACUUUCUAUGGUCAAACAAGGAUGAGUGGAGAUCAUAUUUAGAUUAAUUGGAUCAGAAUUAACAAGUUUCUAUAGUCAAGUAAUUUGAGGUUGUCAUUUAGGUUUGACAUUUAGGUUUAGAACAUUUCAAGUUCGGGUCAUUUCAGGUUGUAAUUUUAAGUUCGAAUCAUUUUGGAUUUGAGUUAAUUCGGGAUUGGAUCUUUUCACGCUUGGGUCAUUUUGGGCUCAGACAUUUUUGGUUCUAAUCAUUUUUAGGUUUGGUUCGAAUCAUUUUUGAAAUAUUUUGAGUUUGGGUCAUUUCAAGUUAAAAUCCUUUUGAAUUUGAGUCAUUCCGAAAUUGGGACUUUUCAGUUUGGGUCAUUUUGAAUUCUGUCAUUUCUGGUUGGAAUCAUUUUAAGGUUUGGGAAGGGAGAGCUCGGGUUAACUUUUUAUGGUCAAACUGGGUCGUUUUUACGUUCGGGUUGGGCAAGUUCAAGUUGUUGACUUUCUAUAGUCAAACAAGGAUGAGUUGAGCUCAUAUUCGGAUUAACCGGAUCAAGUUUCUAGACUCAAAUCAGAACUAACAAGUCUAACUACACUAAAAGAGAAACCAGGCACUUCUCUUACCUAGAGCGUGUCUUUUCUGGUAUGAAAUGGUACUAUAAGCAUAAGCUGGGAUCAACUUAUUGUUAUCCAAGUCAUCUUCUUCUUCCCCGACAUCUUCACUCUCCGAUUCACCAUCGGUUCCCACAUUAGGAAACGAUUGGCAGACAUGAAUAGCCGGUGUCCUCGGCGUCUCACCAUCGUUCACGUCGAAAGAAUCUAAGGUUGCACAAACAUGCCAUUUUGAAGCAAGGCACGUAACCGAUUGCGCUUUGUGUGUUAUUUUCGUCGCGCUCCGUAAUAAUAUACAAAGUCCGGUGACAAGAGUUAAAGAACACAUCUACGAACAAUAAACCAAUAAGAAGGUUAGAUCGAACCCAAACUUUAUAAUAGAUUUUUGAUGAAAAUGAAACACUUACAAGAAGUUCUCCAGCUUUGUAAAUGUUCAAUUCCGAAGUAGCCUUCAAAGUUACAAGCAAUGAAGUGAAUUGGCUACCUGUGACCAAAAUCAAACACCAUAAUAUGAAUGAACGAUACCGAUGACUAAUGAUCCGUAAAUGCCUCCGGAUUCGUAGGUGUUCCGACAAAACCGAACCCACAUCAGAAUCAACUUGGAAAACCUGCGCGAAGUCUUGGAGCCGGAGAACUUGGAGGUUACAAACGAGGUGGAAGAGGACGCAUACGAGGAAGAAAACCGUGGUCCGAUAAAGCCAUGAGCAUAGCUCCAUGAAACAAGCUACACUAUCGCUCAACCAGACGAUACCGAGGAAAGGAAUUUGCGAAGCGCCCGAGGCGUACCACCAUACUUUGUAUGCCGUCUCGGCUAAGAAACACGGAAUAACAAAAGACGAUACGAUCUUCAACGAUCUCUGCAAAUGAAAAAACACAAAGAUAAAUCACAUUAACACAAAGAAAUUUGAACUUUUUCAAAUGUUGAUCAUCCCGAAUCUUCAAACCCCAUAACCCAAAACAAAAAGAGUUAAAAAGUGAGUUGGAAGAGACAAUUUUACAGACACUUGGGGGGCACCAUAUUCUACCUCCUAAUUUAAAACUACAGGCCAAAAGAACUACUUCGAAACUAAGACUCAAUCAAGUUGAUUUCGAUGUAAAUAUUUAGACUAAAAGUGAUUCGAAGCAAAAAUAAUUCAAACUCGAAAUAAUCUACACUCAAACUCAAAAUGAUUAACUUGAAUUCAUCCAACUCAGAAAUAUGGGAUAUUAGUCAAAAACCAUGAUCAUGGCUGUAAUUUCAGUCAAUUAUGGAUCUUUGACUUCAAAUAAUUUCAUAAAAACAGAAUUUUUUUCAAAAUUUUAAAACCAAACCCAGAAAUUAAAUCAAAAACCCAUAUAAAAUCCCCCACCCCCCCCCCCAACAAAAAAAAAGGAACAGAACUUACAUUGAGCUUAGCAGUAUAUCCUUUUCUAACAAUCUCACUUUCAUUACAAAGCUUGUCGAAAAACAAGAACCUUUUCAACCCAUAUUUCUUCACAAAACUAGUUAAACAAACAAACGACAUGGUCGAAACACUGCUCAAAGACAAUUGAACCACCCAAUCAUAAGGUCUAGCAUGUUUAGCAUCACAAGAAGAACAAGCUAAGAAAAAAUGAGACAAACAAGGAACCACUAGUCCUAAAACGAUGAACAAAAACCAAGACAAAGUAGUUGUCCAAAUGUUGGAUUGAUCUACACACAUCCAACGUAAGUAUGUUCUAAAGCUGUGUAGUUCAUCUUGGGCAUGGGAUAUGGUUCUUUGGAACCUGGUUGAUCGGUCCAUUAAUGGUUCCAUAGUAGUAUCUCCCAUGAAAGGACUUGUUUAGCUGUAAAAAGAACAAAAAAAAGUGAGGACCUUAAAGGGAAGGGGGGAGGGGGGGGGGAAUUAAUGGAGUUUCAAAGAUGUUCUAAAUCCUAUAAGAGGAAAACAGGCGUUGGGAUUAUGAGACAGGAAAUAUGUGUUUUAAAGGAAGUGUCUGAAACUUGUUCUGGUUUGGCUUUUUUAUUGAACAAUCAUUUAUAAAUUGACAAUUUUUUUUGGGUUUUAUUUGGAAAAUCCUAACAUGUUGUGAUUAUUGUUUUUCCCAUUGGUAGAAUUAUUAAAAUUUAAUUAUUUUAUUUAAAAAUUUAUUUCAAAUCAAUUGUAUUUUUCAUCAAAAGUUUUUUUUUAAUUAAAAAUUAUGCUUAUCGAGUACAUAAUUAUUUGAGUAAAAGUAGUAUAAAAGUUUCUGUAUUAAUGGCGAAUUUGGAUGGGCGGUACGUUUAACUGCAGUUAGUGUAAAAACAGCUGUAGCAGUGAGAUUAAAUUCUAUAACAAUACUGUAACAUAAGAUAAAAAGUAAAUUAAACACACCACACCACAACUCACAGCCCAUCCAAAGACUUUGAUUGCAUUUUAUCCUAUUUACUUAAAAAAAUGAUAAAUUAAUCCUUAUAAAUAAAAUAACAAAUCGGUUAUUCUCUUAAAAUUUUCAUUAAUAUCUAUUUAGAUUUUUUCAUAUAUUUUAAUUUUUUCCAAAUAAAAAAUUAAUUCUAUUUUGAAUAUUAUCUUCCACAUCAAGAGUGAAUUUGUAAUACCCAUAGUCCCUCUCAACUCAUAUAUAGGAGGAUAACGGGCUUCAGCGCGCUCAAACCUACAUACUCCUAUAUUGACAAUAAUACCUAAUGUCAAUCGAAUUAAGACUUAAUUAACAAUAUACGGUAAUUUUUUAAAAAAUAAAAAUACAUUAUAUUUUGAACAAUUUUAUUAAUUAAUUUUGGGUUUUUCAGCAUCAAAUCAAGUGGUUAUAAUCUUGUGAAAUCAUAAACUUGGAUUUUGGGACAAAAAAGCAUAAUGAUACUUUUGAUUAAAGGAUUAGAAUUUAAGGUUAAAAAACAUCAUAAUCACCAUGUUUUGAGGAGGCAUGUUAAAUUUUAUGUUCCAAUUAAGACAAAUUGCAUUUCUUUGACAAUGAAAGCUAUACAUUUUAAAUGAUAUAUAAAUUGAUUUGAUUAUUAAAGAUAAGAUUGAAUUAUAUUGAAAUUUAUAAUCUAAAUUUUAAGAUAUUUUAAUUAAGUUAUCAACAUAUAAUUCUUAUUAAUCAAAUCUUGUUAGUCAAUUAAUACUAACAUAUUAUUUGAUUUAUUAUUCAUAAACUUUAUUAAAACUAUUUGUCGAGAUUAAAUUUGAUGAAUCAGAACUUAACAUAGUUGUCAAGGAUUUAACCCUUUAUUUUUAAGGUGAAAUUGCCCGUCAAUUGGUACACACGAUUUUAGUACCAUUGCCUUUCGAUACUCCGUAAAAAUCGAUAACGAAAAAAAAAAUUAUAACAAAAACUUUAGAGAACCAGAGAGGAAAGAAAGCUCUGUAAUCAAAUUUUCUUUUCUUAUAAGAAUAAUAAUGGUAAAAAUUUUAUGAGAGAGAAAAUAAAUUACUUUCAAGUUUUAUUCGAAAAGAAGAAUGAACUACUACUUAUACUAAUAAAUUAGGGAGAAAUGACAUAAUGAUUAUUAAUUAAACUUAAGUAACUGUUAGCGUAAAUUAAGGUUGAUUAAACUUAAACCGAAGGUUUAUUUAGAUGGAAAGGAAAAUUGGAGUUAACCCUACAACACUUUGUGGUGGAUCGUAGUUUGUUUUGAAAGCAUUUUAGAGAGAGCUUUGGGGGUUAGAAUGUCAAAAGUCUCCGAAUGAGUUGUGAGAACUCAUAUUUAUAGGUGUGAGGAAUAAAAUUUACAAAAUCAAGCAUUUAGUAGGAGUAACGAGAUUAACUUUUUCAGUUAUGAAAGCAUUAAUGAUUUUUUUUAUUAGUACAAAAUUGAAGUUGUUGGCGGUGAAUAAUUAACAAGAGUUUGUUAUAUUUAUGAAAGAAGAAAGGAGAAGCAUUUAACGUUACGGAAAAAUGUUAAAGAGAAAACCUUUUAACUACCUCCAUAUUUGAUCUACCAAACAUCUGAAGAGUAAAGUUACCUUAAGAACCCUACCAUCUUCUAGGGUUGUUUCAUAAACUAAUCUUUAAAAUGAGGAUGUUCCGAAAGGUGUUCUUGAAUAAAUGUUAUUCUGAUAUAUUUUAAACAUAAGUUGUUCUAAAUAUAAAUGUUUUUAGUAAAAGUUAUUCCGAACCAGAAUAGAACUUAAAGUUUAUUAAUUUGAUUUACUAUUAGUACAAUAUCGACUAUCAUGAUUUAACGUAUAAAAAAGAGAGUAGACUAUUUUUUUAUCUCAUUAUAAGUUUAAAAUUAUCCAUAAUUCCUUCUUAACUCAUAAAUAGAAGGAUAAUGUGCUUCAAUGCAAUCGAACCCAUAUAUUUCUGUAUUUACAAUAAUACUCAUAUCAAUCGAGUUAAAAGUAAAUAUUUUUUUAAUUUAAUCUAAAUCUCUAGAAAAUAGUAUUUUCCCCAACCAAUUCUUUCUACUUUAUUGUUGGAUUCUUUAUUGAACAAAGAAAGGCACUUCCCAUGUGAAGCAAGCUAAUUGGCAUUGAGACAUAAGAAAAGACAGUUGGUGUAGGGACAAGACAAGCAUCAUCAAGUUGCGACGUGUAAUGUGAAGCCGUCAUUCACGCAAAUCCCCCACAUUUGACAUUGCCAAAUGUCUUAAUGUUUUUAUUUAAUCUUGUAUUAAAUACUCAACAUUUGACUCUUACUUGUCCAUUUUGCAUUCAAAAGAAUUUCAUCUUAGUUAAUUAGGGAAUAAAGUUGGCAAAUUAAAUCCCCUUUGUUGUAUUCAUUUGCGUGAUGGGGUUGGUUUGGAAUUUUGGAUUUAGUCCCUAUAGUUUUUAUACUUUUCGAAUCGGUUAUUUUCAGUAUUUAUACCUUUUAAAUUUUCAAAUUUUAGUCCCGACCCAAACAUUCAAUUAUUAGUAUUGUAUUAUGCAUAAAGUUGUAGAUUUAGAUCAUAUUCUGUGAUUAAAUCAUUUUAAGUCCUUAUACUUCUUGAAUUUUAAAAUUCUAAUCUUGACACAAACAACCGUCAGUAAUCUAUGAAUAUAAUUUUUGGUGAGUAAUAUAUGAAAAAAAACAAGUUGGCAUGACAUUACACAUAUGAAAAAAUCUUUGCCGCUUAGAUUUUGAAAAUAGUACAACUCAACAUAAUAAAUUUAAAAGUUAUCGUUUGGCGAGGACUAAAAUUUUAAAAUUUGAAAACUACAUAGACUAAAAAUGACAAAAUUAAAGUAUAAGGAUUAAAUCCAUAACUUUUGUAAAAUAUAGUGACUGAUAGUAAAAUUUAGCCUUUUUCUUAUGUGGUACAUGUGUUAUUUUUUUGUUCAAUGUAGUACCUUUAUUAGACAAAAAUUAUACAUUUGGGUACUUAAUAACGGUGUUAACUUUUUAGUGCUUAAUUUGGGUUUUAUAUUUUGACUCGAUGAAAAUUCAUAAUCAACUAAUAAUUCAAAAUCGACUUUAAGACCCGAAUUAUAUCAUAUCUAUCAAACUGUAUUUAACAGAUUAAACAAAUUCAUAAUUAACACCAAAUUUAUUCUACUAAUUAAAAUAAUAAAAAAUUUAAAUCAAAUAAUAUUAACAAUUAAUUUUAAUCCGAUUAAUCCUAAAACUCGAAUUUUACACUAAGAUAUAUAAAAAAUAAUAUUAACAAUUAUCCUUUUGUUUAAAGUAGAAGUGAAAAGUUACUUCAUAUUAAAGUAUAUUUAAUUAUAAAUUAUAAGAUAAGUUCGAGAAUUUAUCUAGAUGUACAAAAUAUUAUAUAAAAAAUAAAAUUUAUUGGUUUAUUUUUGUUUGAGUCCCUUUUUCACUGUGGAAUUUGGUAUUUAGACUAAAAUAAAAUAAAAAUUGAAUUGUUUAAUUGAGGAAUAAAGUAAAUCGGAUAAAUAUAAAAAUUAUAUUUGAAUUUUGAUUUAAUAUGAAAUUCGAUAUGCAAAUUUCGAUUUUUGUGUAAUUAUAUGUAUAAAACUUUAAAAAAUGGUUUAAAUAUAUACAUAAAAUGUUGAUUUUGAUUCAAUUGUGCAUAUUUAAUUUGAUGCUGCGUAAGUAUAAUAAUUCAUGCAUGUAAUACGUAAAAGGGUAUUUAUCGAUAAUGGUGCUAAUAAUUUGUAAAAUUUAAAUUUAAUCAAAAAUUUAUGUAUAAAAUCACGCAUAAUUAAAGUUUGUGUAUCAGAUUGCAAAUUAAAUUUCUAUUUUUUUUUUAUGUCCAAAUUUUCAAAAGUAGGUUUGAGGUGGUGCAUUAUGUGAUGGUGAUUGGUUUGGGAAUUUUGAGAUUUGCUUGGCUUUUUAUAUUAUUUAGAUUUUUUUUAUUAGAUAUGGUAGGCCAUAAAAUAUAAGAUAUGAUUUUCAAAGAAUUUAAUAUUAAAAAUAAUUAAUCAAUAUUUAUUUUUAAAUGUAAUAAAUUUACAUAAAAUAUAAUUUUUAAUAUUUGAAAAAAAUUAAAUUGUACCUUUCGGAAACACGUUAAGUUGCCCCUACUGGUGGACAAUUCUUCAACAUCAAUUCCAUAUAUUCUUGAACAUUUUGAGGACGACAUGAUGGAGGACACUCCUAUGGACAAUACUUGGGAUCUUUAAACUUCCCUUACUUUUGAGGAUGAUCCUACACCUGCUGCUGAGAGGAUGGUAAAUUCUGCUCGUGCUCAAAAAUACGCAGGGAACGCACGAUAACGCUACUCAAACUCUCCUCCGUGAACCUCUUCAUAGGCCUCCUUAUUCUAUGCGGAGCUAGCUCCAGAAACCACAACAAUAUAUAAAGGAGAUGAGUAGGAAAAAGAAGAAGAUGCCAUGAAUCUUGGGCUCAUACUGUAUUUUUGAAAUUGCAUGAAUCUCUGUUGGAUUUAACUUGGAUGAACUUUUAACUUUUUGUUUGUAUUAUUGUCAUGUUUCUUCAACAGCUGUGUCCACCUCUCAGCAAGGGGCACUAUGUUGGGAGAUGCAAGUCUUCAAAGUAUGCUUUUCCUAUUGCCUUUGUUUCAACAGUCCAAGUUAAACAUGAUUAGGGCAAAAAUAGUUUAGCCCUAACCAAACUUGUUUAUUUCCUUUGUGUCACCCUGGGCAUACCACGUAGCCAAUAACAAAAAGGUAAUAUCCCCUAAUAUAUGGAAUUUCAAAAAUUUACAAUUUAGUCCCUACUAUUAAAAUCAUGUAAAUUUUUCACAAAUUAGUCCUUGAUUUUCAAACUAUUAAACUUUCAUAUUAUGAUUUUAGAAUUUUAAAUUCUAAAAUAAUAUAAAUCAGUCCUAAAAAUCAUGUUUUGAAAUAUUUACAAUUUGGUCCUUAAUUUAAAACAUGCUAAUUUAAGUAUAACUUUUCCAAUACUUUAGAUAUCAUAUUCUUAUAGUCUUAUCAUAAAAAUUCAAACUUUGAGUUCUCUGGUUAAUUCUUUGAUUUUGAAAUUUUGCAUGAUUUUCAAUAUAGUUCUUAUUUAAAUUUUUAUUAAAUUAAUCACUAAAAAUCAUCCACCAAAUUAUUCAUAAAAUCAUUCACGAUUCACGUCAUACAUGAGCAUAAUACUUUCAUCACUUAGAACAUAGAAAGUAAUCAUACACACUUAAUUCCAACAAAUUCACAUCAAAUUAUACAUUCAGAUAAAUAUUACAUAAUAAUUGGAACAACGUACUUUGACUUCAAGCCUCCAUGGUUGGUUUCAUAUGAAAGGGCACUCUUGAACUAGAAUUUUAUGUAAUAUCUCACUUUAAUUUCAAAGAAUUUUAGGCUAGAGAUAUGCUUGAAUACGAAAUGGGCCAAAUCGAAAUAAAUGGAAAAACAUAUUUUUCCUCUCUCUUCCCUCCAUGCACCCCACGUUGGGUCUUAAUAUAAGAGAAUAAUUUCUCUUCAUAUCUCUAGACUUUUCUUCUUCUUCUUUUUUUUUUUUGGUGAAAAGAUAGAAAUACAAAGAAAACAACUUAGAUCCUCAAAGGAGGAUCUUCAAACAAUUUUAAACCUAGGCUCCUAGUAUAAACUAACUUAGCCAGACUAUUAGCAAAUUAAGUUAUCCUCUCUGGGAAUAUACUGAAUUUUCCACUGAUCCCUCUUUCCCAAAAUGAAAUAAUUUUUCCUAACCAAAGCAGAGCGAGAGAGUUCUGGAGAGUCCUCCAAGAUGGCAUUAACAGCUUUAAUACUAUCAGUUUGGAUUAGAAAUUUUCUGAAACUCCUAUCCAGAAUAAGAUUUAGCCCAUCUAGAAUUCCCCAAACUUCUGCCUCCAGAAUAGUGUAAUUGCCCAAGUAUUUGGCGAACCCAAUGAUCCAUUCACCAUUAUGAUCUCUCACACAACCACCAUCUGCAACGAAGCCUUCAUCGAACCUCACCGAACCAUCUGAGCUCAAACUCACCCAGCUGUUAGGUAAGGGCCAAUGUUGAAGAUGAUUUCACGCUUUAUGAGAUGAAUUCCUUAAAAAGGAGGAAAAUUGUCUCGCCCAACUGUAAGAGAUUUUAAUAAUGUCGUUAGCACUCUAUGUAAUGCUUUGGAAAAUGGGAAGGUUCCGGUUUUUCCAAAUACGCCACACGAUAAUCCUAAAGAGACAUGGCCAAUUGAUUCCACCCCAAGAAGAAGAGUGGCUCUGAAGAUUUCUCCUCAUCCAGUCGAGAAAAUAUCCAGAAUAGAAAGCAGAAAGAUAUUGCUGUGGAAUAAGCUUGUCCCAAAUGCCUCUGACAGCAUUGCAAUCUCUGAGUAUAUACAACACAUCUUCAUAAUUGUAUCCACAAAGGCUACAUGCACUAUUACUCCCAAAGCCUCGUCUUACCCUCUCAGCAUUUGUGAAGAGACGUUGUUUAAGAGCCAACCAGAUGAAAAAUCUAAUCCGAUAAAGGCCUUGAUACUUCCAUAGUAUUUCCUAGAGCCGCUCUUUUAAAUUAAAAGUCCCUCCACGAACUUUCUCAUAAACGCUUUUGAGAGAAAAAGAGCCAGUCAAUGUAGCUCCACAAAUAAUCUAAUCUGGACCUGGCGAAGGAUGAGGUGGUGGAACGGUUACUAUUUUGUUGAUAAUCUCCUCAGGAACCCAAAGUCGAAAAAAAUCAAGCUUCCAAGAGCCAUCACCUGUAACCAUACUAUUAAGAGAACAAUCUAGAAAAGGGUUAGCAGAAUGAGGGAUAAAUUUAAAUAAGGGACCACAAUUGGGAAUCCAGCGGUCAUGCCAGCACGUGAUGCUAUUUCCGUCUCCAACUGACCAUAUUAAGUUCUUAUGGAUAAGAGGCCACACCUUAGAAAUGGAUCUCCAUAAAAAGGAACACCGAUUCCUUGACAAAUCAUCCGAUAAACUACUAGGGAUUUUAUAUUUUGACCGAAGAACCUGAAUCCAGAGGGCAUUAGCAUUAGAAACAAUGUUAAAACCAACCUUAUCAUGAAAAAGGUGUUGUGAUCCUUUAGCUGUCUAAGACCAAGACCUCCGUGAGACUUAGGUUGACACACGGAAUCCAAACUAACCAAGGCCAUCUUUGAACUACCAUUGUGAGCUCCCUAUACAAAUUUUUGAACAAUGCGCUAGAUCCCAUCACAGACACCUUUGGGAACCAUCAUUGUUUGUAUGAAGUAACUUGGAAUCGUCUCUAAACUUUUCUUUAUUUAACAUUUAAUUACAUGAUUUUAAUCUAAUGGUUUUAAUUUCUCCCAUGAAAAUAUCUUUCUCUUUUAUAAUUUAAAAUUCAAAAAUAGUAUUUAAUGACAAAAUAACUAAAUUACCCUUUAAAAUAUCUUUUGUCAUAUUUAAGACAUAAGGAUACAAUAGUCUUUUUUGAAACAUGGCAUAUUUAUUUGUCCUAAGCAUGUAAAUAUUAUUUAUUUAUGGUAUAAUUACAAUUAAGCCAUUCUCUCAUAAAGUGGUAAAAUUACACUUUAGUUCUUAUACUUUUCACCACUUUCUAAUCUAGUCCAUAUCUUAAUUUUUGGACUUCACCUAUCAAUUCAUAUCCAUGUCACAUUCAUAAAAAAGAUAUUUCUUAAAUUUUUCCCUUUUCCUAAACUAGUAAAUUUGCACUUCUAAUCCAUCUUUCAUAAAUUUCCAAUUUAAUCUUUACUAAAAUUUCACUAUUCAUAUAUUUUUUUCUCAAUGUCAAAUUUUGGCUUUACUAUCAUUAUUUAAUUGAUAAACACUUGCUUUUUGGGAAAUUUUGAUAUUUAUGUUUCGAAAUACUACUAUUGGCGACACUAGAAUUUUUGGGGUGUUACAAUCAAUUUUUGAUCACUCCACUGAUAAUUCAAAUGACACAUUUGAGUAGCAUUAUUGAUUAUGAAUGUACAUUAAAAAGAUUUUUAGAUAGGAUUCAAGUCUUCUGGAUAAAGAAGACAACUUCAAGAGAGUUUUGUCUCCUAUCUAAGCAUUCAAUCAAUUCAACUCAAAAUUUAAUUAGAAUUUAUAAUAAAACACAUAUUAUGAUAGUUAAGUAUCACAUUAGACAUUUUCAAAGUACAUGUAUCACAUUAAAAAUUUUAUGAAAAUACAAACACCAUAAUAAAACACAUUUUGAUAGUUCAUGUAUCACAUUGGACGUUCAUUUCAAAGUAUAAGUAUCACAUUGGAUAUUUUAUGGAAGUACAUGUAUCAAAUGUGACAUUAUCCCUUCAAAAUUUAAUCAGAAUCCAAUAUAACUAUCAAUUACACAAUGUUCUAUAAUAAAAAUUAAAUAAAUAUAUAAAUACUUAUCCAUUUUGAAUCAAACUCGGAUAGUAAAAUAAGAUUGUGAGAUGGAUCUGUAUUAUAUACCAUAAUGAUACAGUUACCAAAUUUAUACUCAAAAUUCCCAAAAAUGUGAUGCAAUAAAUAUGAAUAUAUAUUCAUUUAUUUAUGGAUAAUUAUUAAAUUUAUACAUCAAAAUUUGUCUAAUUUAAUACAUAAAUUUGUUUUAUUGUAUUAAAUCAAUUGAGUCUUAAUCCAGUUAGCAUUGUUAUUAUUGUCAGUGUAGGAGGACGUGGAUUCGAGCGGUGCUGAAGAGCAUUUAUUCUCUUAUUUAAGGGUUGGGAUGAGUUAUGAGUAGUUCUAAGUAUUGUAUCAACUUAUAAGUUAUAACCUUUUCAGUUAAUUCACGUAUAAAUUAAAUCAUUUAUUAGUAAAUAUAUAAAUCUAUACAGUUAGUUUUUGCUAAUUUAUUACGUAUAAAUAAUUGGACUUUUAAUUUUUACUACUUCUUUAAUGGUACAGUAGAGUUAAUUGAGUUUUAGCUUGACUAACAUCAGCAUUGUUGUUAGUGCAGGAGGACGUGAAUUCGAAUGCAUUGAAACGCAUCAUCCUCCUAUUUAAGGGCAUUGUAUAAAAAAACAACAAAUAUGAUAUUUAAAUCUUCCCAUUUUUAAUUCAAUUAAAGCCUUAUUUUAUUUUUAUAUAAAUUUUUAAUAAAUAUAACUUUAAUUUUUAUCUCAAGUUUUAUGAAUGAUUUCUGAGUAAAAAGGAUCAACAUUCACUUAAUGCAUAAUUAAGUACUUGAAUUUCAUGUUUUUUAAUGUGAUAUUUGUAUUAUGUUAUUUUUUAAGGGUAACUUAUACAAACUGUAACACCCCUUACCCGAGACCGUUUUCGAAGUCGAGCACGAGGCAUUACUUAGCUUAUCUUACCAAUUCGGAGCAUAAAAACUAGGUUUGAAAAUUUAUUUCAUUAUUCGCAGCAAAUCUGUCUAAUUGCGCAGCAGUUACUAAAUUAAUUAUAAUUUGAGCUACAGAACUCAAAAUUUAAUCCCGUAAAUUUUCCCUGAAACUAGACUCAUAUAUCUACUCACCAUAAAAUUUUUAGAAUUUUUGGUUCAUAAAAUUAGUACAGUUUAUUAGUUAAAGUCUCCCCUGUGUCACCACCAGACUGCCCUGACCUCUAGUCACUAAAAAUAAAUUUUCUCACUAUAUGAUUUUCAUAUGAAGUUCUUACUUGUUUCUAUAGAAAAUAGACUCAUUAAGGAAUCUAAGCAUGUAAAUUUCAACUCAUAACCAUUUUUGUACAAUUUGUAAUUAUUUUCUAAACUCAGAACAGGGGACUCCAAAAAAAGUUCUGACCCUAUCUUACUAAAAUUCACAUAUCUUAAAAUAUAAAUUUCUUUUUUUCUACACCAUUAUUUUUCCAUGAAAAUAGACUCAACAAGCUUUAAUUCCAUAUAUCAUUCACCCUCUAAUUCAUUUUAUACUAUCUUGGGUGAUUUUUCAAAUUCACGUCACUGUGCUGCCUGAAUUCUGUUUCUUUGCAAAAUUUUAUCCUUUCAUGAUUUCCAUGCAUAAUUUAUCACCUAAUCUUUCAUAACAACAAACACCUUCAUCCUUAAUCAUUUUAAUAACCAUACAUCAUCAAAUACUUACACAUCACUCAUUAGCAAAAUCAUCACUACAAACAUACAAAAUAACUAAAUCCCUAUACAUGCCAUAACUUAAACGUGUUUCAAUAUAAAAUACCGAGCAGUUGUAGUUGAUAGUGUGGACGAUCUCCGACUUCUUUAGGAUCCUUGAAGUAGCUUAGCAAUACUAUAAGAGAAAGAGAAAUAAAAGAAGUAAGCAUAAAGCUUAGUAAGUUUACUAGCAAAUAAAUAACAAUAUUUAACUUAAAUAAUUAAACUCAAUGUCUAUAUCUCUAGUUUACUCUUUAGUUAAUCUCAUACUAGUUCUCUUACUUGUUUACUUAGAAUAUUUGUGUGCAUAACUUACUCAAUCCCUGCUGCAUCGUUGAACAUCAAUUGAUAGUAUAAUAAGUUCUUAAGUCUUACAACUUACCUGAGCUUGCCAUUUAUGCUUUAAACUGAACUUUCAUGAACAUGAUUCGUUUACAAGCCCGUUGAACUACAUUGGAAUAAUAAGGAUACUCAGGUCUCUUCUGAUAAUAACAUGCCAAAGCCAUGUCCCAGACAUGGUCUUACAUGGGAUGUUCUCGUGAUGGUGCCCAUGCCAUGUCCCAGGCAUGGUCUUAUAAGGGACCUCUCAUCUCGGUGCCAACGCCAUGUCCCAGACAUGGUCUUACAUGGGACCUCUCGUCUCGGUGCCCAUGCCAUGUCCCAGACAUGGUCUUACAGGGGACCUCUCAUGAUCUUAAGGAUGCCAAUGCCAUGUCCCAGACAUGGUCUUACAUGGGAUCUCUUUACCCAAAUGUCAUGACAUUCGUAUCCAGUACCAUCCUUAUGUAUCAACGGGACUUUUAAAUUUUAAUUCUCUAUCAUUUCAUGCUUGGAUCAUCAUCAAAUAAAUUCAUAAAAUAAAUUCAUAAUUGCUGGAAAUUAACAGCAUUAAUAAUAAAUAUUAAAAUAUUGCAUUUAUUUACCGUAAACUUACCUCGGUACCAAUUAUAGCCAAAUUCACCAACUUAGUCUUCAACUUUAUUCUUCCCUUUGUCUAACCUCGAGUUUCGUACUUCUCGAUCUAAAAUAGUAAAUUUAACUUAUUUAAUAAUCACAUUCAUCAAAACAGCCCUCGACUCUAACUUUUUCAAAAUUACAAUUUUGCUCCUAAACUUUUACAUAAUUACAUUUUUGCCCCAAGGCUCGGAAAUUAAACUUCAUCUCUUAUUCUUAUGUUUUAUAACAUUCUGAACAUUUUUCCCUUCUAUGGCAACAUCAAAUUCCCACUCUAACAUGUACUUAUGAACAUUAGGUAUUUUUACCGAUUAUGUCAUUUUACUCGUUUUCACUUAAAAUCGCUUAGCAAAAGUUGUUUAACAUAAUUUCUAGCUUCAUAUUCUAUCAUAAAACAUCAAAAUAAACACUUUUCACCUAUGGGUAUUUUUCCAAAUAUAAACCCUAGGUUAAAUUAUUGCUAGAAUAAGCUAAAUUAAGCUACCGGGAUCUCAAAAACGUAAAGAACAUUAAAAACGGGGCUUGGGAUCACUUACUAUGGAGCUUGGAAGCUUGAAAACCCUAACUAUGGCUUCCCCCCUUGCUGAUUUCGUUCAUAUGAAGAAGAUGAUGAUUUUUUCCAUCUUUUUCCCUUUUAAUUCAUUUUAAUUACUAGAUUACCAAAUUGCCCCUAACUUAAAAAUUUUCUAUUUCACUUAUCUCAUGUCCAUUUUUGUCUACCAAGUUACCAAUGGUAUAAUUACCAUAUAAGGACCUCCAAUUUAAAGUUUCAUAACAAUUGGACACCUCUAACAUGUAGAACUCAACUUUUGCACUUUUUACAAUUUAGUCCUUUUGACUAAAUUGAGUGCCCAAACGUCGAAAUUUUCGAACGAAAUUUUCACGAAAUCAUUUUGUGAAAUUGUAGACCAUAAAAAUAUAAGAAAAAUAAAAUUUUUCUCAUCGGAUUUGUAGUCCCGAAACCACUGUUCCGAUAACCUCAAAUUUGGGCCAUUACACAAACAGUCACUCUGGUUUCAAUUCAGUCACUCAACUUUCGAAAAAUGACAGAUCAAUCACUAGCGUUAUCAAAAAAUGACAAAUUAGUCAUCGACUAACAUUUUCCGUUAUAGACUUAACGAGACAACUGAAGUGGCUAGUUAACUAGCCAUAUUAGAUAUAUCUACGGCAGAAACCCACCCAAUUUAAGAAGAAAUUGAAAAAAAAAACCUAAUAACAAAAGAAAAAGAAGAAAAAAAAACAAUGAAGAGACUAUAAAAUCCCUUUCAAAGUCUCCAAUGGCCCCAAUACAACCGACCCCACAAACAAACAAACAACACCAAUGACAAGUGCUCCAACCUCUACCACUUGCACCACCAUUAAACUGGGUUAGGGUUUUUUUUCCCAUAUUCUUCUUCUUCUUCCUUUAGCUGUUGUUGUCGUGGAUAAAUUUCAAUCUCCCCCAACACUUCAUCCCCUCAACACACAAUCGAGUAUGGGGAAAGGCCCUCUCGUAAAUCCCCCAAAAAAUUACCUUUGACAGCCUCCUUUUACAGUAUAAAUUGGAAGGUGAGAAAUGAACGACAUCAUUGACCAAGAACCCCAGAGCCAUCACCACUUAGGGCUGGGGGGCCAUUUGUAAAUUGAUAAACAGAGGUUGGGAGAACGAUACUUGAGGGGAUCCAAGGUUUCUGGUUGAAGAAGAUUCUUAUUAGCUCUCCGUCCACACAAACCAUCACGUAAGAUUGCUUUAUUGAUUUCUGAUUUCGUAUUUCAAAUUCCCCCUCUCCCCAAAUAAAAAAUUACAAAUAAAUGGCUUUAUUAUGAUUUGCUUUUUUCGGUGACCUAGACACACAAAAUGAUUAGCAGAAGGAAAAGAAUGGCAGGGGUAGAGGGGAAGGGUUGUAUUCUUGUAAGGUAAGAGAUUUGGGAUGGAAUGCAGACUACUAUUGAUAAAUCAAAGGUGGCUUAAGUAGGGAGUUUUUUUUUCUUUAUUCUUCUUUUUAUUCUACUGCAAGUUAAAAGGGGAUGGCACAGAGGUCGUCGUUUCCACAUAGGAUGCCAACAUAGCAAAUUAACGAGUCACCUUAGCUUUCUGUUACGUCUGUUAUGAUAGUAAUCAAUUUGUCAUUUUUCGAAAGUUGAGUGACCGAAUUGAAGCCAAAGUGAAUAUUUUAUCAACUGCAUCAAAAUUGAGUGACUAUUAGUGUAAUUUACCCAUUUUUUAAUUCAAUGUAAUACCUAUAUUUAAAAAAAUUAUGCAUUUUACUAUCUAAAUAUAACUGUGUUAACUUUUUAAUAUUUAAUUUAAGUUUUGAGGUUGAUUCAAUGAAAAUUCAUACUUAAUUAAUAAUAUUAACAAUUAACUUUUACAAAAUCAAUCCUAAAACCUGAAUUCAAUCACUCAUCAAAUUGUAUUUAACAAAAUAAAUAUAAAACUACACAAAUUUACAAUUAAUAAAGUAAUGAAAAAUACAAACCUAAUUUUAUUAAUUAACUUUUAUUCAAUCAAGCCUAAAACUUGAAUUGAAAACAUUUGGUACCAAAAUAUGUACAAAUAAUGAAAGCUAAGAAAAAAAAAUUCGCAAGAAUUGGGGAUUUGGAUCCAUUGUUUUAAAGUUCUAAAGUAACAUUUAUAUACAAAACAAAACCCUAAAUCAUCAUUACUAUAUAUUCCUAAUUACAAAUAUUUACAAUCAUCAAAAUGGUAAAACACAAAAUCCCUUUUUUAAUCUUAGUUUCCUUCAAACAAAAAUAAGCCCCAAAAAAGAAAAAAAAACAGAAAAAAUGGGGUUUUUACUUUUUAAUCCAGUUUGUGAAGGGUUGAAAUUGAAAAAAAAAGAGAAAAAUUUUAUACAAAUAUUAAAAGUUACAAAAAAAGAUGAAGAAAAAAUCAGAUCUGAGAUAUAAUAAUAACAUCACCAAACCCUAAAUCAUAUAUAUUCUCUAAGAACAAAGAUAAUAAUCACCGUUUGAUCGAAAUCAAAGGGCUUAGAUUUCAUCGUACUCAUAAAAAAGACUAGGAUCAUUUUUUUUCCAUCUUAAUCAUAUAUCUUUUCUUCUUCUUUUUUUGCUUAAAAAUAGCAAAAAUUAGAAAAAUAGAUUUGAAUAAUUCUUCAUCAUCAAUCAUGAUCAUCAUGUUGAUCAAAGACAUAAAGCAGUGCAGUAGAGAUCAUCAACUUCAUCCAACGGUGGAAAAUUGAGAUCAAAAGGCAUCAAUGUUUGAUUUUGCUUACAUGAAGAAGAAGCCAUAUCCCCAUCGUCGACGACAACCGACGAUGAUGAAUCACAGUCACUCUGAAAAUCCUCUGGCAACACCGGCGGUUUCCGAUGAUGAUAAUGUUUCCGGUCCGACACAACUGAUUCCAGCGGCGGUUGGGUUGGUCUUGGUCCACUAAAAGACUCCACCCUACUACUCAUACUGCUCCUCGUCGGUCUUUGUGGGUUCAUUUUCGGGUCUUGAAAAUUACCCAUCAGGUAUAACCGACGGUGGUGGUGAUCGAUCGGAAAAGCGGUAGUAUUCGAGGGAUUGAUUGGGAAAUUCGUUUUGGCUUUCGGUCCACGCAGUGUCAUCGCCGCCGUAUCGUAAGCUCGAGCCGCUUCUUCGGCGGAAUCGAAAGUACCUAACCAAACCCUGGUUUUUUUCCACGGGUCUCGGAUCUCAGCUGCGAAUCUACCCCAUGGUCUUUUCCGAACACCUCUGUAUUUGGGUUCUUCUCCAUCGGGGAUGACGGCGGCGGCGGGACCCCUCCCUCUCCUCAUCGGAAAAUAAGUAAAAAAAUGGGUUUUUUUUUCGAAUCUCACAAAACGGUAAUCGAAAAUCAAGUGUAUAAGCUCAAAAUAUUAAAUAAAUGGUAAUAAAUGUUAUAGAAAUACAAAGGAGAUUGAUGAUGAAAAAAAGAUUAUAAAUAAAAAAGGAAGUAAACUGACUAAAUCAACCCAAACCAAAACUAAUAUAUUCAUAAAUUUUAUAUAAAUUUAAAAAAGAAAAGAAAAGAAAAAGAUUGAAGAUGAAAGAGAGAGAGAGAGAGAGAGAUCAAAGAAAACCAAACAAAA
rnacentral:lncRNA from 1 species